rnacentral:lncRNA from 1 species
AGAGACGACAAUCGCGGAACAAGCGUCUGCCGUUAGCGGAUUGAAAUGCUCCUGAGAAAGCUAAUUAUUAAACCAAACAGCCAUGUCCUUAAAGACAAUAGUGUCCAAGAGCUGAAAAGCUCCUAUAUAACCUGUUUCUUCUACUACACCGGCAAUGUUAGGCUGCAAGCUAACGUGAAGACGAGUGUGCAGAGCAGCGCUGUUUCCGCCCACGACUCAGAGACGAAUUGCUAAUGAUCUACUGGAGCUCUGCAGAAGAAAAGACCUUGACACAGGUAACGUAAUUUUGGUUAAAAACUUCAUAGUCACUGUUUAAAGACCACUGAUAACACUUAAGUAGUGGUGCUAGCCCUGCUAAUGUUAGCCACACUCAGAAAACCAACUUGUUUACCUGUAGAGGGCAGACUGCUUGUUUAUAGUUUUGUCUGAUGGGUGAAGUGUUGACAUGCAGGGUGUGAAAGCGUAUCAUGUGAAGAUUAAAUUGUGAUGUGUUUACUGCAAAUGCUCUUAUCAAGGUGUUGAUUAAAUGUAAUGUUAUGUGCAGCCUGACUCUGGAACAACAAAACAUGUGUUCAGCUUUUUUUUAAAUUUGCAGUUUAACUCCUCAAUGACAUAUUAACUACAAUCAAGGACAAAUAAUCUUGACAUGUAAAACCUUAAGAGUUUCCCUUUUAGUUCAGUGCAUGUGUCAUACCAUGGAUGGCAUGCUGCUCAUAUUUUAAGGAACUAUAAUUUAUGGUGACACAUUCUCUACUGAAUAAUACUUGUAUAUGAUAGCGUUUAUGGUAGUUUACGCAACCUUUUCCCAUAAAAAUGUGUGCUAAGUGAUAAAAAAUUCCAAUGUUAAAGGACUCUGCAAAACACACACGUAUAGAAGUCUGUCCUAAUACAAGACCCAUUAGAUAUGAUAUGUAAGAGGUACUGUAACAAGUCCAAUUAAAGAAAACACAGGGACAGUCACUCAUUUCACCAUGGGGUCCUGCUAUCGUAUCAUAUCAUAUUUUCUUUGCCCACUUACCCACUUCCCUCUUCCUUCCUUCCUUCCUUUCUUCCUGCUGUUUUACCCUCAGUCUGUCAUCCCUCCUUCCUGGGUAAUUCCACAGGUCAGGUCACACAAGAGGUCUGUGCCAUAUUUGUCUCCCUGGUGUAAUUGCCAACUAUUUCUCUCCCUCUAAUAAGCCAUUACUCAGGCAGCACCGGCCAGCCAGCUAGUGAGGCUACACUGGAGGCGGUGAGCACGAGGCCGAGGGCCCCUCUUUUUUCAUUAGUCCCCUGAGGAACCGGACCACUCUUGGCUCCGGGCCGAGACAGGCGAGGCCCCUUUAAUGUUUUUGCAGAGCUCCAAAGCACUUUGUUGCCUCAAUAAAGUUCAUUUAUGGGAUAAUAAGGCUCUGGAGGACACAUGGUGCUGAUUUGAGUUGAAUGGUUUCAGCAUGGCUCACAUUCCCAAAACCAAACUCCAUCUCUUCCUCCAGUCGUUCAUUUCAUCUGGUUUCUUUUUCCUUUCCUCUCUUCUCACCUUUCCUCUCUCUCCUCACCUCACAUCUCACUGUACUCUUCAUGUGCUGUCAUUUAUUAUUCCUCUUUCUAACACUUUGGCAGGGUAACCGUCUGAUCCCAGGGUGACCUGGGAUUUGCACACCUGGGAAUGAGUAGCAGUGAAGGGGCUGGGGGGCCCUCUCAUUUCCCAGGAUUUAUUCCAGAGCUUUGAGGGGGGAGAGAGUGGGGGUGUAUGAGGGGAGAGCAGCGAUCAGAGGAAUGAAAACCCUCAAGCCUCAAACCCUGGCAGGAGGAUCAAGCUUUACAUGCCAAAGCUGCACCAGAGCCCUGUGCCCUGUGCAUUCACAGUAUCAAAGGUGUACAUGUAUGAGAUACAUGCAUUAAAUCAGAUUCCUUCACUCUAAGGAUGGCUUUAAAAGCACACGCACAGAUAGAUUAGAAACAGACCCACUUCUUUUUAUCCUUUGGUUAUUACACAUGAGGCUUACGUGAGUGUUGGCCAUCUUUCCCCGAAGCCCGGUCAGGACAUUGUACACCGCUGCAUGCUAAACGUUUUCAUCUGAGCUCAAUGUUUUUCUUUUUCCCUCAUUAGUAGUUGGUUAACCACUAAUACUCAGUGUAUCUGCUCAGCUUUUCUUCCUCCCUUCAUUGACUUAGCAAGAACCAGAUGGGCCCCAAACCGCCACAUCUCCCUCUCCCCUCUGACUGUCAUCCUUCCCACCACUUCUUAACGAUAAUUUCUCGCUCUCUAACGGAAAAUCGCUCCAGUUUUACAUGUCUGCUCGUGGCAUUACACACAUGACAGUGUAUGUGGUUUGAUAGGAUAAGGCUUCUGGGGUUUCUUGGUGCUUGCAUACAUGGUGGAGGCCACCUCUGACUGCUUCAGUCAUCUUAAAAACAGAGUUCGGCCUGAGGGUGUUAGCUCCAGCUUGUUAGUGUGGUUGGAAAACGUUGUGUUUGAUUCCAUGAUGAAGGCUGGAUGAAAAGAUGAGAGUCUGAAGGACUGAUUGCUUCUCUGUUGGCGUUUGGGAACUGCUCCAUUUUCAGUUGUGGUGUCUUGGGAUGGCAUGCUGGUCAGGAAGUGAGUUCAGCCGAAACAGACUACUGACAUGAAGGGUUGCUACAUGAUGACUUGUUCCAUGUCAGUGUUAAAAAUGACUCAGCCUUAAGAUAGCGAUACAGAAUUAAGCAAAGUAGAGCACUAAGUACCUAAUUUUGACAUUGUUUGCAAAGGAAUGUUAAUCUGAGUAAAACCACUUCCAAGUUUGUACAUGUAGCAUAAUAAGAGAGAUGUUGAACUUGUUAUUCAGUGUGCCCCAGAAGUUUCUCUGUCGUGUUAUUUGUAAACUCACUGAGACUAACAAUCUGGAUUUAAGUCCUGGGACCCAAGAUUAUUAUUUUCUUGUACUUCUCCGACUUUUGUAGGUUUGAACCCUGGUCUGGAGUGGAUGCCAAGCAGAACAUUACAGUAUCAUCAGCAUAAAGAUGAAAAGUAGAUUCAGCAUUUAAAUUUAUGAUAUUGAUAUUAAAAAUGAAAAACUGUGAUCCAGAGACUGAUCCCUGAGGCACCCCUUUGGUUACUGUAGGUUUUAACUUGAAAGCAUUCUUUGUAGGUGUGCCCUGCUGCUUGUGGACUACGCUUAGUUUAUCAAGUUUUGUUGUGUCAGUAAUAUUUCAGUAAGACUCACCAAAAAAUUCCCAAUGAGUGUAUAAAGAACUGUCUGAAAGACUACUGAGGGAAAAAUGCCAUUUGCUUUACUCUACGAUCGUCACUCUCCCAAUAAAAACAAACCAAAGGAUUUAAAACAAGGGCACCAAUUAGCUUAGCAACUUAUGUGGUCCCCUUGUACAGAAGCGACAAGCCUCAUCCCAGCAGUCGCUUGUUUGACUCCUCGCCAUGGUCCUUUGUUGCAUUUCUCUUUCCACACUCUACUCCCCACAUUUCUAACAGAGGCAAGAAUACCCAAAAAUGUAACCGGAGAAAAGGUCAUUUUAACUAAAACGUGAUAAAACACAGUUGUUAACUUUGCAGAGGAUUCCUGUUUUUCCUUAAACAACAGCUGGUCCUCGACAUUCAAUCAUCAGAACAAAGAUGAUUUAAUGUACGAAUGUCCCUCUUUUUUGUAAAAGAUAUUUGAAAUUUCUCAGGCUUGUAUAAAUCAUGUUUCACUGAUGAAACAGAAGUCCAGCCGUUCUUCAGCAGUCACUGUUUGUUUUUUUUAUUCAGUGGAGACCAGACUGAGAGUUGCAAAGAACUCAAAUCUCGGUCUAAUUUAUGCCCUCCCUCCCAACAUGAGUGAGCAUGUAGCUUGGCUUUGUAGUGGGUUGUUGUUGAUGAUGAUAUAGUGGUUCAGAGGUUCAUUUCCUCAACAGAGCAGGGACUUCAGUAGCAAGGAGGUUAAAGGUCAAACGCUCAGAGCCUCAGCUGUGGUUUUAGUUGCUGAGUUAUUGUCAUGUUGGGUCGUAGAUAUUAACUCAUUCUGACUUCAAAUCGGCCUGAGCUUGUGGUUCAGGGCUCAGUGAGUUAUCCAAGUUUAUGUAGUCACACCGUCUAAUUAUUCACAUAAAAGGAAACUCUUUUCUUUGGAGUUCACGAGAUGUAAACAGGCUGUAAAGUGCAGACAUCUGCAUUCAUUUCUUCCACAUUUGGUAAUCUUUAGUCGGCAUGGAUCGGAAUCAGGAGUUCUUCAGGGUAAAUUUUGCCAGACAAAUGUUUAGAUGAUCUGAUGGUAAGGGUCAGCUGGAGAAGUUGUUUUUAGCCAAGUUUUGAUUAAACUUCUCGUCAUCUAUUAAAAACAUGUGAGACAAAAACAAGUCUCCAUAUCUGCUGUAGAACAUCAUGUACUGAGUCUUUAAUGUUUCUAAUAAUGGUGCAUGUUUGUAGUAGAUUAACUCUCUAGGGUCACCCAAGAGGAGAAAAGCAUCUGUUUAGACUUUUUGUGUUCACUUAUUAUAUCUACUUUGACCUUCAAAAUAAAAGUAUCAAAAAAAGGUGGUAAAACUUUAUUUGACGCCUAUCUGUAUAAUGCAUUAUAAAUAUAUGUAUAAUGUGUUAUAAUCAUGUUAUAACACUAUAUCUAUAGUUAUAAACAUUCAUAAGUGAUCAUAAUGCUUUAUAGCAAUAAUCAUAAUACAUUACAAACCGUUUUAUCACGACUUACAAGGUCAGAUAUUAUAAUCUGUUAUAACUGUAUAACUACAUUAUAGAGCGCUAUAACGUGAUUAUAACGCGUUGAAUAUAUAUAUAUAAUACGUUAUAGAGAUAGGCGUUAAAAAUGUGUUACCAAAAUGUCAUAUUUUUGUGUCUAUAAAUGCGUGUGAAUAUUUUUUUUUCUGUGAGAAGUAACACAACAGUAUAGUAGUAUUUUAAAUCACAAUCAUAAUUUCACAAUUACAGGAAAUAACAAAAGACAAUGAGUUACAUCAGAAUCUGGUUUUAGGGGCUCCAUGGUUCCCCCCGGGUACCUCCUUAAAUGUUUGACUGAGUACAUUUACUCCUGUUAGGUACUUAUCCUUGAACUAUCAUUUAUGUUACCAUAACUGGUGGUUUCAUACUUGUAAUACAGUAGAUUCAACAGCUGUAACAGUCUUUUUCGCCUGUUACCACAUGUCAUAUAAUGGCAGAUUAAAAAGAUGAAGCAGACUGCCAGUAAAUUAACUGUAGUAGCCGUCUGAGAAAUGAUUCGACACAUCUAACACGGAUGUUUAAAAUUUAUCCUGAAUCCAAAAGUCAUUUCAGAGCUUAAACAAGUUUGGGUUAUGUGAAAGAUCUAUCAUACUUUCUUAACAUUCUUAUAACUGUUUUCAUUCAUGACUUACAAUCAUCAGAAGUAAUACUCUUCAAAAUAAAAGCGUAGGUUGACCCUUCAGGAAGUAAAACAACCUAAAUGCAAGACAUUUUUUAAAGUGAAGUUUUUAUCAUAGAUUUUGUCAUGUGGAUAAAAUAUAAACAGGAACAUUUCCACACUAGUGAACAUUUCAUAUAGUAUAAGUCCUAAUUAAUUUGCUUGAUAGCCAUGACUAAUUGUAGCUUAUGAUUUUACAUAUAACUAAACUCAUAUAAUGAUGCAAUAUUAAGCAGUAAUUUAUUAAACAGUAUGCAUAUGAUUGGCUUUACAUCAUCUAGCUGUCUUAUGAUAAUACUCUUCACUACUUUUGAUAAAAGCCUACUCACUGUAUGUUAUACUUCAUUAGUGCCAGUUUUAGAAACUGAUGAUUGAUUACCUUAUCAAUUCAGGAUUUUUGAUAAAAGUGACUGUAUUGGGGUUUCAUGAUGUGGAAAAAAAGCUACUUCAAGAAAAUAAUCUGUUCUUUACCCAUCAUUGAAAAAAGGUAAGACUCUGACGUAUCCUAUCAUAAUCCACCAACACUUUGCAGCAUUUAGCAACUUACAGUAGCAAAGAAAAACUUCCUUAUAACAGGCAGAAACCUGGAGCAGAACCUCAUAUUUUACAGGAAAGUGGGGUAGAAGAAGAAACAGAGAGAGAUGGAUAGAGACAACACCAACCAGCUCAGCAAACAGGUUUCUAGUUAGAAUAAUAAAGCACUAUUUGACUGAUCUGUCAUAACCAUUAAUAGCAGUUAGCUAUGGUAUGCCAUAAGGAACAAUAUAUUUUUUAAUACUGUUUGAAUUGUUUGUACACACAGUUUUGAUUCUAAUAACUGUGUCUUUGCUUUAAAUUCAUGACACUCUGAGGUUUUCUGUGUUUCAGUGAGUAAUCUUGUGGGAAUUGCCCCCAGUCACCUUUUUUAUCAGGCCUUAUUCGGCUUUAAAGAAACAGCAUCCAGAAGUGUGUGAGUGUGCGCGUGUCUUUGAGCAUGCAGGCAUCUCACAGAGCUGACUUUCAUGGCCUUACUUCACAGAGAGCUUUCCCCUGACAUGAUAUGUUGGCCCUGGCGAGACCAAAGGGAAAGAUUAAUAAAUCAUCUGCACAACAAAUAUUGAGCUGGAUCUGAGAGGUCAAAGACGGUCGAUAGACACCCUCAACAGAAAAGAGCAAAUACACCUCUCAAUCCACCUGCUGACCUGUCAGAGUGUCUUUGGAUUCACAUCUCUGUACGGCUUAGCUGACUUAUAUAUCACACACACUGAUCUGACCUUAUCACACGCACACACACGCACACACUCCCUCUGGGGCUGUGAGUUACUGCUUGCUGUAGAUCAAACCUGAACGUCUCUUACUUCAGUGAUAAAGCAGCUAAAUCCCUGACGUCUCUUCUUCAGAUGAGCCCUGGUUUUGUCUGGCUGUCUGGCUAAUUUGAUUUGAUUUUUAACAUGCUUGAAGUGAGUGUGACUCAGAUAUGUAUGAAAUGAUGCUGUUUACUCCCUUAAUUGGCUACCAAACAACAGAAAUCCUUUUUUUCUUUAAAAUAUUAUAAUUGCAAAAUACAAGCACAGAAGAAAAUGAUGAUGACCCUGCCUGACUCAUUUCAUUCUUCACGUAUUCACUAGAAACAGUCACUCUUCUUGUCUAUGGGCUUGUUUGCCAUUCAGAUACAUCAAUAUUAAUUACAGUCUGUUUCAUAACAAGCUAAAAACCUUUAAAGGGCUGUGACUUAUAAGCAGCCGCAUUUAGCAGAGACGACUUGGAAGUGAUGAAAUAUACUCUUCAUGGUGAAUAUAAAACUGCCAUUUUGCACUGCAAUGUUUCUACAGUAGCACAGAAUGGUCAAACUAGUAACAUGUGCAUGUUUGUGUUUCGUGAGAGGCCAUAGAAAAUGUACUUGUUAGAAGAUGAAGAUUGAGAAACUGUUUACUGUGCACAACUGUGAAGGUGAAAGCAAAAGCUGGAAAAAAUGGACCUGGACCUGUUUGUGUAGUAAGUUUAUGCAGUCAGUUUAAAGACACCAAAAUAAAUGAAUAAAUAAAGAACGUGUAAUAUCUUUAUACAAAGUGUUUAUUCAACCCUUCAACCUUUAAAAAGUAAUUACUUGUGAAAAUCUUAAAAGUUCAUGACAAAAAUAAAAGGUGAGUCAAAUUUGAAUAUAGACAAUAUAGACUUAGGUCUAGGAGUCUGGGAGAGUAUACCUAAAACGUUUUGUUUUAUUACAGCUGCAGCAUCAUUUUUCACCAGCAGAUGUCAGCACAACCUUAUCUGUUAACUCCAUGAUGCAGCUGAGCUCUCUUUCGAAAGCAGAAAAUGAGCAGACUGACUUCACUAACAGCCACUCCCCAUGGAGAAGAUCAUGUCAUAGUGGGAUGGACUCAUGAUCCAGUAUCAAUAACCAUCCAUCACCUUACUGCUUAAGGCGUUAAAUCUCCUUUAUUUAGAGGAAACAUCAUUUUAGGGCAGCAAACCUAGUUUCUGCAUGAAUACUGUUUCUAAACCUGUGACUAUUUUGGACCUCUAUUAAAAUAGGACAAUGUCUGAAUGAUACUGACAUGCAUAGAGGAUGUAGAAAAAUGGCUUAAGAAUUCACUCAAAAUAUAAUUUGUGGAUACAGGAAGGGAAAGAGAGGGGUUGUGGGUAGAGGAAAAAGGUAGCAGCUUGACAGAGAGAAUGAAAGAGCGUUCUUGUUAUUGCAGCCUGUUCUGGCUGUCAGAGGACCUGACUGAACCCUGACCUCUCUGCCAGCAGCAUGAGGAAGUGGUUAGACAGACUCAUAACAAGACGUGCUGCAGCUGAGUACUGAGAAUCUGAAGCAGAAGGGGAAAGAAGUGCAUGUUCCCUUUUGCUUUUUUGCACGGCACCUCAGGCCACAAACUCUCUCAGAUUGUCUGUCAGCGAUCAGGCCACAUGUUUGUGUGUCGACUAAACCACAUCUUCUCUUUCUCAAAGAGUGCUGGCCUCCUUUUCUGACUGAAAACUGAGGUCGCGUCUGUAAAAAUGAACAAACAUCCCCCUCCAAUUCCAUUAAUUCGACCACUCUCCGCUGACCAUGUGGGUGAAGUGCGGAUGGAUAAACCAGGCUGCUGCUCCAUUGCACCCGAGCAGUUUCACGCUCAUAAACGCAGUCAGGGCUCAGUAAAAGCACACUCAUCGUUGAACUCCCGCCCUCCCAACCCUUCAUGUUGUCGUACUGAAUUCUCUCUCCUGCUUUGUGUGUAUGUGUGUAUAUAAAAUGCACUCAGCAGUCUGGAGGGGGCAUGCCAGAUGUCAGUGCUCGUCUUGGAGCAAUUAAACUGGUUGUUAUGAUGAAAGAAUUUAUUUGCCAUUUGUUUCUCCUACUCGAGUCUAAUUGAGUGAUUGAGAUCUUAAUUAGAUUGGCUCUCAUUUUUCACCUCCAUUGUUUCACAGCCUCUUUAAUCCCUCGUUUGUGUUGAAGUUAUACCUCUGUGUUUAAAGAUUUCUUUGCAGAGCUGGAAAGCAGAUAAUUACUGAAAAAACAUAGCAAUUAGCAGACCAAGUUUCACAGCAUUGAUGCUUUUUUCUAUUUUGGGUGGAUUUUCUCUCUUCUGGGACACUUUUUGUAACAUUGUAAUUACCUUACCUUCACACAUUUUUCUAAUUUCACUUCUUCUCAAUAAAGCUAUAAUCAGAAUCUUUAUUUUUACAAUAAAUCACAUGACUGCAAGUGAAAGAGGUCACUGAGAGUGAAGUCCACAGAGAAUAAUCACCAGACUUUCAGUUCUCUUUAGUACUAUCGAACAUCUCAGCAUCCUUGGCCUCAUUGUUUUGGUUUUCCGGCUUUCAGCUUCACUGUUUUGACUUAGUUUCACUGCUCUAAACAUUUUUCCAGAUGCAAAGAAGCCUUGAUAAACACGCUGCGCAUGAUCUACACUGCACAAAAUUGCAGGCAGAGACCGUUAGCUGCAAAAGUGCACACUAUGGUUUAUUGGUGUUUUCUAUUAGAAUAGGUGUCGACCAAAAACACCUAAAAGUGAAAUUAAAUUUGCAUGACAACACAUGAAUGCUAAAAUGCUUCUGUCUCUGAUGAAUAGUAUCAUGAAAGUGUUGGCCAGAAGUUUUGCAACAUCAUCCCAAGCUGCAAUCCUAGAAAUGAAGCUGAAACACAGAAGUUAAAACUGCAGUUCACUGAGUGUCCACAAGAGACAGGCUGCAAUACCCUCGAAGGUCACAUAUACAACCAUUCUAAAAGACCCAUCUAAAGGUAAAAAUAAACAUGUUUACAGCCUGUUACACAAAAGAGUUUUGAUCUGGAUGGCUCAUUUCACUACUGUGUACCAAUCCAAGGCUGCAGCUUUUGAAGGGUCCUGCUGUUGUUGCCUCUGUGGACUGGACAGAUCGAACUCGAUUGAGAUGUAAAAUUUGAGUAGCUUGCUACUGAGUUCAAAUUAAAAACUGUGAUUUAACCAUUUUUCUGGGCUGUUUGAAAGUCCACAAUCUGGUGUGUAUUAUCUAGAAGAACCAGAAGUUGGACAAAAUUGUCAGCAGCAUUUGGAGUCUUCAAAAUGCACCAUUGUGAUGCAUUUGACCUUUAAAGGCUGCAGCCCCUGAAUUGGGAUACAGCUUAUUUGUACAUACAGUACAAUGAAUUUGGUUUAUGGCUAGUUAGUUUUAAAGAUAUUAAGGUUAAGUUUUGUGUGAUUAGACACAAGGCUGACUUGACUCACAUGGGGGCACACAGUAACCAAAGACCUGUCUGAUCUCUGCCUCUGUUUUUUUCGCUUGGUUGACCAAAAAUUUGGAUGAGUCAGCAUUCCUAAUUUGGUGGCAGCCGUCAGUUGGCCCCAAACUCUAAAACCAAUGGGUGACGUCACUGAGACUACAUCUAUGUCUGUAUGAGUCAACCCUACAAAGUAUCGCUAUCACUUGGGUUCAAGACAUGAUGGCUGCCCCCAAGUGGUUUUUGCAGUUUGUAUUACAGCAAAAUCUAAGCUGUUUGAUGUGUUUAUUUUACAUACAGAGUCGGUGAGGGUCGUAAGUAACCCUACUUAUCAGUAAAAUUGGCUUUAAAAGUUUACUUUAAAGCUCAAUUUGACAAUAUGGAAAGGACAAAAUCUGAGACAAUAGACAACUUACACUGUACGUGACAACUUACACUGUACUUGACACAGUGGGAUGGGGAAGAGGUCAGAGGGUCAUUGAGUGGGAGUUUCCAGAGACCCCCUCUAAAACUUCCUGCACAUAUGGACGUUUUUUUUCUUUUCCUCUUGUCAGUCAUCCAAAUGUUGUCUUCUAAAAAUUAAUGAGUGCUGUUUCUGUUUUUGGUGUAGUUUUAAUUCCUGGCUCACUGACAGGUACUGUACACUUUGUUUCCAAAUGGUGGUUUGGAAUAACAUAAUAUCACAUAUUGGCAGAAUUUAGUGUCACGUACUAAUCAUUGCUUUGGGUUUUAAGUGACUGAUGAUUCACCAGCACAGCUUGCAUCAGUCUUGGCAAAGCAGGGAGUCAUGUUCAUAAAAUCAGUCCACAAUGCCUCGGCUUCCUGUCCCACAACAUCUGCUCAAAUGAUUGUGAAAAAUACUCCGCUCAGUGCCUGGUGGAUUAGAGCAUCCAUAUGUCGACCAGGAUGGAAGUAAACACUGUUUGUCAGAUGAUGCUGCCCUUGGAUGAUCCUAAGAUGGCCAUCAGGACAAGAUUUUUAGAAAUGUGUUAAUGAUGCAGUCUUUUCCUUACAGUGACAGUUUAUUAGAUGCUUAAGAUAUUCUCUGUGCUCUGACAAAUUUGUAUUCUUGCUCUUGUCGUCUGUAAAUGGCUCCCUGUCUCUGAGCCUUGCAGGGACCAAGCGGCUUGUUUUGCAUUCUUGUUGUUGGUGAGGCAGCAGUUGGGUAAAAGCUAUAAAUUAUUUAUCCAUUGGUUGUUAGCAGAGAUACUCUGGAUGCUAAUAAACUCCUGGGAUGUUUGAUCUGCUCGGUAGCUUCGUGCUGAAAAUAGUUGAUUGUGGCUGAGCUGUAUUUCAAAGGAGCUCCUGCAUUUUAUGUCUAUUUAUUGAUGUGUAUGCAACUAGUGCAUGUGUAGUUUGCUGGAGAGUUAAUGAAUUCUUCAGAAAUAUGAGACGGGUAAAGCUUUGUGAUAUUGUAGGCUCCUGGGUUUUACAACAUGUGUAUUCAUGGAUACAAAUGAUAAGAUGGUACCUUGUUCUAGUGGUACUGACUAAUAAUAUCUAAUAAAGAGUAAGCAUCCUCCAAGGGUAAGACAGGGAGACUGGAGGAAAUUGUAAUAAUUUUCACAUUUUUCUUCAUAACUCACAGAUAACUUUAAAUAGACUUGUCUUACUGUAUAACAAAAUCAACUGUAUGUGCACUAAUUAGUAAAGCUAUUACUACAUUUUAAUGAAUAAUGGCAGUACAGCUUUAUUUGUGUAAUGAAAGAAGUCAGUGUGGGGGCAAUUGAAACUAUAAAAGAAUUAUGUCCUUUUAUUUAAACCUAAAUGUUGUGGCCAAGCAGUCAAGCACAAAACACAGAUAUAAAGUUCAAAAAAAGGGAUUUAAUUUCCAAAACAAAUAGCUUUUACAACCCAGAUGACUGAAGAUAAUGAAAUCAACGUUAUAGGGCCCUUAAGAGAGGUUAACAUAAUAUAAAUCCACUGAAAAUAAGGCUAACAAAACUCAAUAUUAACUCAACUUAAAGACCUGCCUGAAUAAGACACUGGGGCAAAAUAUAUAGGGGUUGAUCAGACCAAAGUUAACACACAGGGGGGAAACUAUAUACACAACAACUCAAACUAACACAAUAAAACCCUGACCCCCCUCAUGAUGCAGGGCCUCUUGGUCUGGUCUGUGGGAGGGACCUCAGCAUAAAGCCCUGCCCCGCCCUCAGCACCAUCUUUGUCUGCCCAGCAAGCAGGAAAUGCCACCAAACAGCCAGGUAACCCAAAAGAAAAGACAAAUAAUUUCAUUCAAACAAUGUAAACUAAAUGUGCGCGCUCCAUCCAGAAAACAGUGUGUUGCCAAAGUACUGAUAAGCUAGUUUUAAACAAGGUGAACUAUGUGUGCUGUAUGUAAUUUAAGUGACUGCAACUCAGAGUAACUGAACAUGUGGUGUGGUGUUUGAGAGUGUGUACAUACUGCUACCACCUCUGUGUGGCUGUGGGUUCGGCCAUCACACUAACCCACUGUAUCACCAAAGAGUGUACCUGAAAGUAAACACAUUUAUUAUACAUUGUCUGACAAACUAUAUCAUAUAUUGCAUCAUAUCAUAUUAAAUAAUUUAUGGCUUCAAAGUUAAAGUAACUCUAAUUUUGCAUACCAGAAGGCAACUAUUCUGGUGGUAACUACAUUUUGAUGAAUUGAAUUGGGUCAAGAUUUAAUUGAUAUGAGAUACAUGAAAACAUUUAAGACCUCGGGAAGAAACAAUGUAAAAGCAAUACUGCCUAGAAUUAUGUCUUAAUCAUAGACAGCCCCAAUUAGAAUGAAGAAGAACUUUAUUGAUCCCCGAAAGGAAAUUUAAUCGUCUGUAGUCUCACAUGUCAUGUCUCAAGCCAUCUCUUAUUUACAGAAGAACUAUAAAGUUUGAUGGCUAAGUUCUGGGUACAAAAGUUCUUCUGAAUCUUUCCAUCCUGCAGCGAAGAGAGAGGAGCCAUCCACCACCAUUGGCCCUUUGAUCCAUCAAGGUGUUAUGAAGUGGGUGAUCCAUGUUUUUUAUGAUAGCCUCCACCUCCCUUUGUGUACAUCUCUAUGAUAGGCCUUGGCUUUUUCACAUUUUGAAGGAGAUAAGAGGAUGAAGCAAAGGAGGAUAGAGGUGACAUGAACAUCAACGAAAGUGUCUGGUAUCAACGUUAGAAAAGGAGCACAACUUCACUUCCAAGUAUCGGUAAGUACCAACCAUGAAAAUUUCUUUUGUUUUUAUUCCUGUCUACUUGUGCUUUUGUUGCUGGUUAAAAUCACAAGUUGGAUGUGUGUGGGUGAUGAGUUUCUUCUAAAGGGAUUGUUUUUAUUCUUGAUAUGAUAUUUUUAUUCAGAUUUACCUUUUACUUUGCUUAUUUAAAGGAGAGGACUUACAGACUUUCAUGGGUCCCUUUGUUUGAUAAGCAUAGGCCUGGAUGUGUAUUUACUGUAAUAUGAUGUCUUCAUGUCAACAGAGGUCUGUAGAGGCUUGCUGUUAUGUGCCAUUAACCUGUAGUCUGUCUCCAAAGAAGUAGCUAGUAAACAUGUCAGUGGUAAUUUGCUAGUCUCUUUGAUAAAACUAGCAGAGUCAUAUAGUGCAUAAAAUACCUCAUAUCUCCUUGAAGGUUUUGAUGGUGGGUGUUUGUUAAAACACUUUUGGAAAGGUGUCGAUUGAACUGUGUAGCUGUUGCUCCUGGUGCCUUUGGGUUGUUUUGUCUCACACUGAGGAAUGUUUCUCAAGAGAUGAUAGUAAGAAAGUCGUUUGUGGUUACUACAUUGUGUGCAUUAUAAUCCUUUUCAACGCCCAAUGAAGUGAAUGCUCAAAUAUCUAUUAUGAGUAGAUCUGACAUGAUUGUGAAGCAUGCAUCACUCUGAAUAACUUGCAUAUUAGUGAAAUUCAAAUUUCAACACACGAUAAGCAGCAUUUGGAUGUGUCAGUAUACUAUUACCUCUACAAUCAAUCGAUGAGGUCUUUUGCUAUUGUUGCCAUAAUUUAACCUUUACUGGUACAAUUGCUGCUCUAUUUCACCCUGCUCCAUAACAUUUUGUGAAUUUGUAAUUUCGUGAAACUUUGUUGGUGAAUAUAAGGACUGCAUCAUUUAGACAUUGGCAAAAAACUAACUAUCUAGGUACAUGUUGUAAUUUUUCAAGUUAAGAACAAAAAUUGGAUAGUUGUAUGUUCGUCAGAUGAGACAAAAGCACUCUCUUUCAGUGUUUUUACAUGUGCAGUCUAACCAAGCUACAGUCUAGCUUGAUUAGGCGUUGUAACUAGACUGCUUUACUUGUCUAAAUUUACGUGCACUGGUCAAAAAUCAAAUUAGCAGCUUGUUACUUUUAGGUCUUCUCCAAUUCGACGUAUUAGUUAUUAAAUUGUCUGCAAAAUGUGUUAGCAAAUGACUAAAGGGAUGUACGUGGAAUGAGUGAAACUCUUUAUCCUUUGUUAGGAAAGUUUUCGACUAUUGAGGCUUUUUUGUUUACUAUCUGGCUUUGCAUCCAUGGUUUUCAACUCCCAGCUAAAAGCCGGGCGUGUGAACACUGGAGUAUGCACACAACGUUUGAGCUAGUUUCAGUCCAGUUGAGGGGUAUACAUGACAGAUAAAACUGACCCCUGACUGCAGUAUCCAGGUAUGUUAGCCUUACUAUGAGAAGUUAAAAAAAAAAAAGUCCAGUUUCAGUUGGACUAGUGUGAUAUUUUUUUUAAAAACAUGUGAACCCACUGACUGUCAGAGCUUUGAGUUCUGAGGUAAGAGCCUGGACUACCAAUGUCAAGCUUCUACAUCCUGAAUCGACACAAUAGUCUUUUUCUAUGCGAGUUUGCUCACUGAAAUAUACUGUAGUGAUUUAACUGAGAAAAGUUUUCCAAGUCUGUGAUAGCAUCGUACCACUCCCUCCUGAAAUUAUUUCCGUCUGUGCUGUCACUCUGAGACUGCAAGGAAACACUCAAUCAGAUGGUUCACAUUUUGAUGUCAGUGUUACAAGGUUAAUGUCACUCUGGGCCAGGUUUCAAAAAUAGCAGGUUGCCUCUGGCUGUGGAUGGAUUUGUCAGUGGAAACCACAUGCUUAGUGAAGCGCGUCUUUAUAAUUGCUCGCUGACACUGACAAACUGCCUGUCAAUGAGCUAUUUGUACUUACCAUAAAGGUUUGAACAGGAAAUUGGAAAAAAAAACUCAACUGAAUCCAGCCAAUCAUGUUUGAGGUUGAACAGCCUUAUUUUGGGUGGGAAUCUCAAGUUUUGUCAGAAUCCGUCUGAUUUGUUAUUACAUGUCGACAAAUAAACACCAUGGUACACACAUGGACCCCACCACAUUCAUCCUCCACCCUAUACUUAUAAUCUAACUAACAUUUACUUCAGCUCAGUCGGAUUGGCGUAAUACAUCCACCAACUCUGGGGGGAAAUUACUUGCAAGUUAUUUUUCUUCAGCAGAGUAUUGGCAGACCUCCAUGAGAAGUGUUUUCCCCUUUAAGACUUAUUACUUAUGAAUCAGAAGGAAAAACAGGGGGGAUUACUGUUAUUAGAAAGAGGGAAAGUUAUUAGAAAAAGCAAAAGUGAAACAUUACCGCUGUGAAGGGGUGCUAAGAGACUUAUAAAAGCUGUUCAGCUUUUUCAGCAGGGUCAGAGGUUUUAACAGCAGAACUUGGACAGUAGCACAAGCUGUACCACCUCUGCUAUACAACAUGUUAACACCUCUGCAAACACAUGACAGAACACAAUGAAAUUACUGUGUGGGUUCUGUGUUGUGUCAGAGUUUCAUGAGGUGUGGCAAGUUGUCUGUUUCCUGUGCUGAAAAAUUAUCCAAAGGCAGUGGAAGCCCCCGGGGCCUCACAGAACAUUAAUACAAGUAUUGAGUCUUAAAGUUGUCUACAGGGAAACUGUGAGUAAAUGAACAGUGGUUAAAAAAAUAUUCCUUAAUCAUGUCUAAAAAAGGGCUAUAAUAGUAUCAUCAUUUGCUGGUUUGUGGUGAUUAACAUUUUGAGUCAUCCUCGAGAGGUUGUUUGUAAAGCUGAAUUAAUUGUUCGUCCAGGAAGUUGUAUCUUGCACAGUUCUCAAUUAGGGCUGCACGAGUAAUGGAUUUUAAAUCAUAAUCUAGGGUAACCAUGUUCUGAAUACUCAAAAAGACUACGCAGGGGCGGAGUUAUGGAGUCGCGCAUAGUUAAUUUUAAGAGUUUUUCAGGUCUGGUUGAGUGUUUUUUAUGUGGUACUAACUUAGUGAAUCAACGCGACACAAACUCAAAAAUUCGAUACAAAACAAAAAGUUCCUUGGACAUUCGAAGGAUUUCAUAAACUCCCCCGGACAAGGCCGGACAGCCCCCCAAAAAGAGGACAUGUCCGGGUAAAAGAGGACGUAUGGUCACCCUAGAUAAAGAUAUGCUAUACAGGUUAAAAAUAAACAUCAGCCUACUUACACUCACAUCAGUGCGCAUUAUUUGCUCAGGGGUCGAUGUAUGUCGACAGAGUUGAUAUUUGCCAAUACUGCUGUUAAACAUAAACAUAUGUCCAUCCCUAAGAAUGCCUUUUUAAGUUCAAUUCAUUACAUCUCAAUGUAAAGACUCCUUGUGGUGGCACUGUUAACAGUUACCAUUCCCUCUUACCCAGGGAGCAUUUAGUUUUUAUCAGCUCAGUUACUUUAUCAGUUAUUGAAGAAUCUUGAUAUGGUUAUAUGAUGUUGUACAUUGUGAAUUAUCUAGCAUUCCUAUUCAUACUUGCACUCAUGGCUAAACCCUGCUCCUAAUCCUAAAUGUAUAACAAGGAUAAAGGGAGACACAGUUGGAUAUAAAACAUUUUUUCUUACUCAUCUGGAACUAUCUUAAUGACAUUUGGUAUUCACUGUUAUACUUAAUCCCUCUGUCUGUGUGUGUUUUGUCUUUAGUGAAUUUGCAUGCCAACUAUAGCCUGGGGAAGUCCCUUACAACACUGACCCCUGCUUUGACCCACAAGUAAAUUACAGAUGCUAAACUAUUUCAGUGAAAAUCACUGGGAAAACAGGACAGAUAAUGAGACAUGCAGUAGUUGGUUUCUCGCAAAAUAUCCUCUGAGUUAUAAGAGCUGUAGCAAGAAUUAAGUGAUUUAUUGCUCAUGAAAAUUGCAUGGAAAGUAUAUAGUGCUCAUUUAUUAAGUACCUUUUAAUAAGCUCUAUAAAACUGGGGUCUCUAGAGGGUUCAAGCAGAAUAUUACACUUUUUAUACGGGUGGGAGAGGUACACAUUAUCGUUUUGGCACAUUGUCCUCUCACAGUAUUAUUUAAAUUUUUGCUUUGUGGUGUUUGCGAUCAAAAUUUAUGACUUCUGGUUAGAGUUGCAACGAUAAAACAGAUUUUCCAUGCAUACCUCUUCCUUGCAUCAUAGGUCAGAAAACAAUAGACAACCAACAACAUUUAAAAAACAUCACAUUUACAGGAUUACCUCUGUCAUUGUGGCUAAUGUUGCAGGAACAGUUACAGAUCGAGCGUGAAGUAUUGGUAACACUUGCAUGCUACAGUUAAUUACCCAUUAAGCCUUUUCUCAUGCACAGUAAAGUUCAAGGUCAUGUGAUACUAAGAUGCUUAAACUGAACUGUCUGGAAAACAUUAGAAGCAUAAUAAAGGUCAUGCUUGAUGGUGUUUACAUCAUUUUGCCAACACAGUUACUAGCAGGUAUUUUUCACCUAACUAUGCAGGAAAUUGGAUUUCUGAGUGAGAUCUGAUAACAAGGUAACACAGUGUUAGAUGAUUGGUCUACCUGCCUUUUUUUUGUUGUUGAAUGAAAAUGCUGAGCUUGGUUGAAGUCAAGAAGUCUGAGCAGCUCUUACCAUGGGAGUCUGGGCUGCAAGCGGCUUUAGAGGUUGGUUUAUGCUUGUGUUAUGGAUUUGUAUAAACCCUGAUAUGUUACUCCUCUCAUACCGCAGGGGAAUAUUUUGUUUAUGACCAACACUGAGUAGACCACCACGUCUGUAUUCUCAGGCUCUUUCCACCAUGAGAGUUGAAACAGGCCAAAGCUGCUCCAGAAAACUUUCUGUCGUGUGUUGAGGCCCAGACAGAGAAUGGCACUCGGGGGAACCACAGGCAUCCAUAAAUAUUCAAGCCCAGAGAAGUUUAUAGAGUUUGUCGUUAAGGAUUUAUGGUGGGCUGCAGAAGUGGUCAUGGAGAGAGAGGGGGGGGGUUUGGGAUUCUGGUUCCAGACCCUUACUCGGGAGAGGGGCUGAGCUGCAGACUCCUUUGAGAAUCAGGGCUGGAGAACAGAAAGUGUUAGGAGUUCGAUAGAUCAGAGACAAACAUCACACCCUACCAGUGUGAGGAUGAUUAAGUUUGGUGUUGUUUAGAGGGUUUAGUUUUCCUGAUGAUUUGUUGCUCCAGCGUGUUGGCUGAUCUUACACUUUUGCAUUGCUCUCAAUAGAUGGAAGAAAACAAUUUUGUGGAUUGCCAUCUGUUUAGUGGUUUAGAGGGUUUGGAGUAAAACCCCAGGACAAUGGACUUUCAUGUCUACACAGUAAACAUUACAUUGAUGCAUUAUGGCUUUGUGGUUUAACGUUUGCUUCAAAAUAAUAAAAUAAUUCAAAAUAAUACAACAGCUCCUAAAUCUAAGAGUUGGUAAUUUAACACAGCCAAAAAGCUGAGCUGAAUUUAGGAGGAAUCCACUCACUAGAAAAGAAAAAGUGAUACAAACUACAUGAGAAGCACGUGUUUUGUGUGAGCUUUAAAAAGAGGAACAUGACAUGCUAGAGUGAGUCAACUUAAAUUUUUUUUUUGUGUGUGUGUGUGUGUGUGUGUGUGUGUGUGUGUGUGUGUGUGUGUGUGUGUGUGUGUGUGUGUGUGUGUGUGUGUGUGUGUGUGUGUGUGUGUGUGUGAGAACAUGAAACCACUCCUUAUUCUUGCAGAACUCUGUGGGUUUGGGUCAGCAUAUUUGUCUUUCACAACCUGCUGGUCAGAUGCCCUUCAUACACACCACAACCACAUGAUGCUCAAACCAAUACCAAACAUAGUCACUUCUUCAUGUUGCAUUUGACACCUUUUUUUCUGGAAUUUCUGUCCUCCCCAUCUAGUCCCCCCUCCCCUUAAAUCUACACUCUCCUCGGCCUUCUUUAGUAAACCUCUCUCCCCCCUCCUUACUACCUCCUCCAUCUCUUGUACCUCACAUACUGAACUUUCAGUUACGACCAGAAGUCUGUGCAACCUCAGCUUCCCUCUUUUUCUUCCAUCCCCCUGCUGUGUCAUUUCAGUAAAACUGAAGGCCACAUAACCAAAACCUUGUUGCGACAGCACUAUUUCCCUUUAAAACACUGUGUCAUUGGUGUCCCCACCACACCAAGAAAUAGCAAUUUCAAAGUAAAGGUCAUGGUGUUGUCUCUCUCCACUCUCCAAAAAUCUUAUCUUAUUCUCUUAGUCCUGAAAGCUUUCAGAAAAACCUUUUACAGAAGCUGAAUGUGAAGUGCUCUCCGGCAGGUCUGGUGCUUUUAAUGAGUGUUUGCCAUCUCAGUGAAUGUUGGGCAAUUGAGAAAAUUAACUCCCUUCAUGACACUACAGAUUGCUUUCAAUGACUUAGCUUGUCAGCCUGCUUGGUGUCACUCUGCUUGGUAGUCUCACUCCCCUGAGGCUUAACAGUGAGCUGCCAUACUCUAUUUGUGUGUUGUGUUUGUAUACUAGCUCUAUUUCUACAUGUGUUUAGACUGAUUCGUUUAGCAGCCAAUCAGCAUUGCUUGAUCGAUUAACUUUACGGCUUUGUCCAAAGAUGAGAUAAAGUUCAUUACAAGUAGAAGAUACCAGAGUGGCCAUGUUAAAUGCUCUACAUUCAAAGAACCCUGAUAAAUAUUGAUACUGUCUAAAUAAACUAAAUAUUUUAGUGAUGAACAAUCAGAUUCAUGUCUGAUUGUGCACUCUUUUCACCUCAGUCUGAAGUUCAUUCACCCACGACAAAACCAUUUUAAUCUUGGAAAUGGGUAAAACACUUACAUUCUAUUUAUAAUAAUAUGUAUAAUUGGAAAUUCACAUUGCAUUUGUUCAACAGGUUAACCUCUAUUCUUAAAGCAUACCCUGAUGCCUUUAAACCUUAACAUGAGUAGUGUAUAGUGUCUUAGUGAAGCUUUUUUAGUGCCAAAAAAAAAGAGUUUUGGACAAGUUUUGUGUGCAAGUAGAUUACAGUUAACAUAAAAGGCUGACCUGUUCGCUGACUUAAAGUACAAUGCUAACACUAACACAUGUAUGUCACUCAACCUGGAUAUAGAAUAGAUAUAUUAUAUAAAACAAUGAUGAUUAUUAUGAUAAAACUUUUUAUUUCUAGUUGCCACCUGAUAUGAAAGAGACACAGAAGAAGACGGUGAACAGCCAAUCAUGUGAGAGGAAUAGAGUUCGGCUUGCAGACAUUAGGAAUAGAAUAGAAACAGCUGAAGUCUGCGACUGCAACUCUGAAGAAAAUACAGAGCCUACCCACACAAUGCAGGGUGAAACACUAUCACCCGCUAGAAUGCACCAACAGCAAGUAGUUACAGUCCCAAGUGAGUGUUAGUGGACUUUUAGCGAGACUUAAGACAAAGACCGACAAACAAAACAAAAACUUAUGGGUUCUUCAAAUUUCACUCGAGUGAAAAAGGGGGUCUUUUAAUUUGCAAACGUGUAUUUCUGAUGUUGAGCAUCAUGAAAAAACGUCAAAUUUCACUAUAUCUCCAAGGCCAAACGGUAUCACAGAGUUUCCAAACAUGUAGCAUCUGGGAUGGAACCCAGUUAAUCUGAGCAAAUGAGAUAAUAUUACUGAUUUGUUUUGACUUCAUAAAGAGACUCUCCAUGUGUGUGCACACGGUAAACAUGCAUGCUUAAGCUGUUUGUAGAAACCAACAGGGUUCAGUUCUUUUCCCACAAGCCACACAUCCCCUGCAGUGUCAUGUGAUCCCACUAGCAUCCCAAUAAAAAGCAGGAAGCUUCAUUUCCUUUCCUGCCAACAAAUUGCUCAUCCAUGCCCCCCUAUCUUCACAGGCACUCAGAUUUAGAUAAAAGAAGACAGUGAAACAAGGCGGGUGUUACGAGAGAGUAAACAGCGCUGCCAUGUGAGGAAUCCAGCUGCAUUUUUGCAAUAUAUAAAGGGGGAAUUGUUGAUGUCUAUCUCUCUGUGACAGAUGGGGUUACAAUAAAGGCAGGGCCAAAGUAGAUGGGGUGAUUUGAUAUCCACAAAGAUAUAAACAUACUCUUUGAGAAUGCUACAGGCGUAAGCUGCACCAGACAUUGCUUUUUUAUGAGAUUUGGGGCAUCAUAAGUGCAAAUUCCUCGACAUUUAUAUUGUUUGGAACCUCUGGAAAUGGAGCCUCUAUUGUUUUAGCUGGAAUAUUCUCAUAAAGUCGUUCAUCAGUUAUCAGCACAUCUCUCCGUGGAGCAAUAAAAGGAGUCACAUCUAUCUCAUGUCUUGGCUGAUAGCACAGUUGGUCAGGCCUUCAUUAGUUCCAAAUUUAAAUCCCAUGCACGGGGCAUGCGUGCACGUGUGGAGUCAUGUUUGCACUCAUUAAUGGGUUGAAUCAAUUAAUACCCUCUAAUCGUGGGGUUUGAUUUGUUUGCUAACUGCCAAUUUGUGAAAAAAAAGGAGUAGCACUUUUAAAUAAUCCAGUAUUUAUUACACGAGAGAGAGAGAGCGAGCCAGUACUGAUUAAGGAGAACUGUAGACACUUAAUGAGUUAGCAUUAUGCACAGCAAAAUGGCCCUUAGCACCCUGAGCUAAAGGGAUUUUAGAAGGCAGUGUGAAAGGUCUCAGAGUUCAUUAUUAGUGAAGCUAAUGGGACUAACUAGAGGGCUGUUUUCUCAUCUGUGUCAUUAGUUCCUCUUACACAAGCCUUCAGUGUCUGCUGCAUGCAGGAGAACUGUCUGAAAAGAGGAGGCCUGUUCUUCUUUUCAUUACUUCUUUCUUCGUCUGGCAGCCCACGAUAGAAAAUAAGAUAUUUGAUGUUGUUUUGCUGUCUGUCUUUCUUGCACCCACUCCUCCAUCACUUCUUUCACACACUGCCGUAUCUCAAUCAUGCACAUAUACAAAUGUGCACCCACACACCCUGUCUUUCUCAAACACAUAUACAGACACACGCACGCACGCACGCACACAGGCACAAACACACAACCAAACAGGGGAAAUCAGGCAAACCGCCCUCAUGAAUUCUUAUUAAAGUGAGAUUAUUGAAAUGCCAGUCCCUGCGUUUCGAUGUCAAUCAUUGCACAUUACGCUGGUGGCGAUAAAAGCAUUUAUUUUCCAUCUGGCUCGAGGUGCAAUUACUCCUGCAGUUUACUGUGUACACGUCAGGGAAAUUCAGGUUUCUGACCAAUCUGGUCAACAACAUGCUGAGCUGUCUAUCAGGAUUUAAUAUGGGGUGUCAACCAAGACUUGCAGGAGUUUGACUGGUGUCUCAGAUUGAUAAAGCACCAGGUGUCUCCUGCUCCUGACAGCAGGAUGUGCAUUUCUACAGAAAUUCAUGCACUCCUAAGAUUAAGAUUUAUUUGCUUUCUCUUCAUAUUUGUUUACCCCCAAUCAAAGUCAGAUAUUUGCAUUUAUUAUUUUUAUAACUUGGAAAAAAAAAAAAAAAAAACAUAUUUUACCUGCUUGUAGAAAUAUUGUGGCUUGUUGUGUUGUUUUUCUUUCUUAUUAUUGUUAUUUUGUUCAUUUGUGGUUUUUCCAUAAUUUAACAAUACCACCAGAUUAAGAAAACAUGCAGAAAUUUACUCAAUAUUUAAUCAAACUUCUGAUCCACAACCUGAAAUCGAGAUUUUGGGAUAACACAAAAAACGCCAUGUACAGACUCACUAUUUGUUUUACAGUGAAGUCUUGUACAAAUAGAUCGUCUUAGUCAGUAAUAUGUUGUAGAUAAAUUUCAAAUGAAUUGAUAAGAAGACAUAGAUAUUGCUAAACAUGGCUGAUAUUGUUGUCAGUACCAAAUAUUUUGAUUUAGUACAUUAUUUAAACUCUAAUAAGUGACUGUAGUUUAGAACACUAAAAAACAAACUACUUAAGCUUUUCUGGACAUUUUGGAUUUAAUAUUUUGACAAACUGUCAAAUUAGACCUGUCAGCUGUCAAAUUAGACCUGUCAGUAUACUAUAAAAGAAUUAAACUAACAUCUUAUGUCAAAUCUACAGGUGAACAAUAAAGCACAGAUAGUUUUCAUAGAUAAAGUUAAUACCCCAAUACAAAACGAAAGUCUUUAUAAAGGAGACCUAUCUUAGUCUUCCUUCACGUAAUGGUAGUCUGCGACCACAGAGUGGCUUAGCAUGAUUUUCUAAGCUUGAAAACUCUUUAUUUAUCUCUUACUGGCAUCUGUAAAAAUCUUCACCUGCAUUUUCAGCCUCUGCUCUGAGUCACUGCAAAAACAUAAAGGCUGUUUUGAAUAAAUGUGAGUUUUUACAGCAUUACCUUUUUUUUUGCACAGUACCUGCAAAAUCUCGCAGCAGAAUUCAGGCCCUGAAUGUGUCAUUAAUUUUAAGUACAUUAAAGUAUUUCUUGAGCUUUCAGGUUGUCUCUGGUAAACUUUCCACAGUUUGUAAAGGUCUGUUGAAUCAGCACUAUGGCACUUGAUUCUAAUGUUUGCUGCAGCUGCUCUCAAUAUACAAUAUCUGUGUUGCCAUGAGGACUUUGAUUUUAAUGUUUAGUUUAACCUUGGGAGUUUUUUUACUCCUCUUGGCAUACUUGUGGUGUUAAGUGUAAUCAUGUUAAUUGUCCUCUUAUGAAAUGGAAUACCAACACACAGGUAACACCAUUUUGACUCUAGAUGCUGGUGCACUUUCCUGCGCUCAACACCAGAGCACGUACUACCACCUUCACACUUUGAAGGUGUAUAUGAGUAAAUGAAAGCAACCAUCAGCGAUUGUUGUUAUUUGAUAAAAGUGAGCUAUUUAAAUAAUGAAUAUUAACAGAGUCUUUAUGUUGGGAUGAUAUUUUAAAGCUCAAAUCACUGAAGAUGUUAUUCCCUUUCAUCUUUGGACAUUCACAGCCGAGUAUGGACCAAAUAGUGUGUUGUAAAGUGCAACAAACUUUUACAUGCAAGUUUGUUUUCUCAGAAUUUUUAAAGGCUUCAUGUUUAAUUCUUGCUUUUGGUCUACUGUGACAUAUAACACUGGAUAGAAAUCCAGAUGGUCUUCAGUCAAACCUGUUUGACUUUGCCAGUCUGGAUUUAGACCCUUUCUUGGACAUGUCCAGAUUAUGGAUGGCUGACAAUGGUGCAGUCAGACUCAGGUUUUACAGACAGAAUCUCAGAAUGGUCUUAUCACGAAGCUAAUUGGGAUCAGAGUAAGGAAGAAUAAUGGAAGCAGACAGAAGUGGUAGACAAUGUGACCCAUGUCUGAUUUAACGCUCUGACAAAGCUGCUUUUAAAUCAGACACGAUUACAACCUCAAACUAGUAACAGCCAGAGUACAGCUCAUGUAAACUGGAUUAGGAGUCAAGAGUCGGAUGAGUGAGUCAAGCUAUUAGUAUUAUAUUUGAAGAAAAAAAAGACAAGAUGUAGUGAAAAGCCUUUUAUAAAGGCUCCAUUAUUGGAAAAUCUCCCACACAGGCUGUCUAAGUAAAUAUGUUUCAUGUGUAACAUUACCUCCUGCAAACUAAAGUUCAUUAAUGGCAUUUGAGACUGUUAGCUGAUCUUAUGAACUCCUGCAUGAAUCUGUUUAAAUGUAGGAAAAGCAGAAAAGGAAAUGGCCUGUGUGUGCCUACUUUCUGUGCAACCCCUGCCAGCCUAUCAGCUUCUAUGCGUCAACAUGUCCAUCAAAUGUCAACAUCCCAUCUGCAAGUAAGUCAGUCUCUUUGCUGAUGUAUUAUAAGGAUUUCCCCGGGCUUUAUUCCUGCGUGUUAGAUGUUUCCUCACACUGUAGAAUGGUGUCAGGUGCUGCCUCAGUGUUACAGGGUGACGUCUGGCUGAGCCUGAUGUUACACGUGAGUUAUCUGUUGUGACUGUGUGACUGUCUGAUGACAUUUGUCAGUAUUAAGUGUUGUAGGCGAACAAAGACUCCUCUCCCCCUCUCCUCUGUGAAUCAGUGUUGACAGGGUUGAAGAAAGUUCAUCUUGUGUUUGUUGGGAGCAUGACCAGGGUCCACUCAGACAGAUAUAGACUGUGGCAGCUUGUCUUUGUUUGGACUGGGGUGAUACAGACAUUUCCCCAUGGAUGUUAGACGACAACCUUACUGAUGUGUUCAGGUGAAUUGGAAUAUUUAUGUUCCCUUGUAUGUCUUUCUUUUGUCCUCUUGUAUAUUAUUAUGUAUUUUCAAACAGUUCAUAGUGUUUAAUAUCAUUUCAGUGGAUUAGAUUUCAAGGAGUUAUAGAAAGCGAGAGAAGAAUGGAGGGAAUCUAUUGCCAAAACGUUACUUUGAAAUCAAGGUCGGCCCCCUUUCUGAACGUUUCACCAUGUGGAAAGAAAGGAAAGUUAUCUGCCAGCUCAUAGAGCAUUUUAUUAAAGGUCCUGUGUGGAGGUUUGUAUAACAGAAGUGAGCUGACAGAAGUUGAUGUUUCUACAUGACCUUCAAAAGCAAACGCAACCAUCAACCAAAAGAUCUUUUUUUUCUUCUUGGUAGGCAUUCAUUGCCUCCAAAACCAAAAUAAAUAUGUUUACAGCCUGAUUUGAGUUGAGUUCCACCUCAACUUAGUCUCAUUGUCUCCAGUUUGGUUUGCUGAAUGUUAAAUUGUGAAAGCAUUUCUAAUAUGACAGCUGCUGCUGAUGGGCUGCAAAAAAACUCCACUUCAGAGACAGACUGGAGAUGUCCAUGUGUUACACUGUUUAUGGUCAUAUUUCCUAUUCAUAAAGCAGAAACUAAAGAAUACAUGGUAGAAAUGAGGUUCUAGUUUCAUUUGCCAAGAACAGAGGUUGCUUCUUGGGUCUAUUGAAAGUCAGGUCAGCUAAUUUAACAUGGUGGCUGCUGUUGUUGGUCUCUAAAACUACACUCCAGAAACCAGGUGGUGAUGUCAUAGAGACUAUUGUAUGUCUAUUUUGCAAUUCCAGUCGUGCAGUCCAGAUUUAUAACAGGUCAAAGGUAACACUUUGAAUUCUCCUUCAUAGCCAUACUGGUUUGACAUAGUUUCUUUUAACCAGAUCAGUUUUUUGGCUUAAUUAAAUAGUCAUGGGAGUCAGUAGCCAUGUUAACAUGCAAAAUUUCUUGAUCCGAUUAAAAAUUUGAGAGAUCGGGUAAUCUGAAUCCUCUGCUUAUAUGGGUGCUAAAAUCAAAUAAUCCGAUCAUGACGUUCGUACACAUGCACCAAGCUUUUAGAAGGAUUUGGACAUGUGCAGAGUUGUCUGAUCUCACUAAAACAACCAUCCCUCUCGAUCGGAAUACAAUUUCUUUCCGACUGAGGCGAAUUGGAUCAGAAUCUUCCAAUCUACAUGUUUACAAGAUGCAUUUUUAUUCUGAUUGAACAUUUAUUCCGAUUAUUUGUGCCCAUGUAGACACAGCUAGUGUUUUGCUUUUGAGGUUCACUAUUAGCUCUGCAGUAUUCAGGAAUUGGCAGACUAUAAAAAAAUGCAAUAAUACUGCAUAAUCUCACUGGAUCAGUUGUCCUUGCCGUCAUACGUCACAUCAUAAGACAACAAAUGUCUCUUCAAAGACAGCAGUUGUGUGAUGUCAAAGGUUUUAAUAAAAGUUAACAUCAGGGAUAAAAGACUUCAAUUUAAAGGAAAUAAUAACUUCCCCCAUUGGACUCUGUUUCAGAUGGUCCACUUGUUGGCUCCGGUCACCUUUCACCCCUGCCAGACGGCACAAGGAUUCUCGCAAAGUCUCAUUAUCCUUUUAUCUCAACAUUUAUCUGACAAGCGAGCAGGGAGGGGGCAUGCAGGCCAUCCUUAAAGAUUCAUAAAAAGACAGUAAAAGAGAAAAAGAGCGCUUUAGAAAAGAAGGGGGACUUAAACUAGCAAUUCUGUUUAAUGUCUGCAUGUGAUAGGGUUGACGGAAUUAUUAAUCUGGAACUAAGGAAAAUUCAGACCUUUGCUCUCGGCUGCCUCACUAAGAGUCUUUAGUUACCACCAUUACAUAGCAACUGAAGGUCGGGAGGUCUGCCACUAAUUGGUUCUACAGGGUUUUGAAUAACAAUGAGGUGAGCCCAAUUAUAAAAUCAGUGUGAGACACCACAGAGGAGUAACAGAGAGAAACGGAGGAGCAUGAAAGAGCGCGAGCGAGAGAGAGGGAGAGUGACAAGGGACCUGCUGGACCUGCGAUGGGAUAGAGGGAGUGUGUAAGAGAGACAGAAGUGAAGCUGUUUCAUCACUUCUGCUUCCCCUCUCCUCAGCAGCAAGCUAUUAAUAAAAUUUAUAAAUCAGCGGUGGCAUAAAUUUUAAUAGAGGGCUGUGGAAAAACAGUCAAGGUCUCUGAAGAUAGCUCCACCUCAUCUGAAAUUCCAUUUGCAUAAAAGAUUCAGGUUACACAGGCAGAUUUGAAGGGAAUCUCUUCUUUUUUAUCGUGUGUUCAUUUAUUAGUAAUAGAGCCCUUUUUACAUGGCGGAAUCCGACACGAGCACUUUGGAAUAUAAAUCAGUGCCUUUUUAGAACAAGUGUCUCCUCCCUUUUAGCUUCUUUCCUCUGAAUGUGUGUCUAUGCAUGCAAGUACAACAGCAUAUCCUGGAUAGCACAAGCAUUUAGUACAAUGGCCGACGUGUAUGUGUGUGUGUGUUUCAGUCUGUGUUUUUGUGUGGCAAAUGAUGAGCAGGAAGGUACAGCCACCUGAUGGCUCUGUUUCUGUGGGAGACAAAAGAACAACCCCUCCCCAAAUUAGCGUCAUGUCAUGUGGGAGGAGAAGCAGUUUCAGGAGGAGCAACAUUCCCUCCCUUUGACGACUGGCUUUCACACACACGCACGCACGCACACACACACACACACACACACACACACACACACACGCAGCUGGUUUUGAACUGACAGGAUCUUACUGGCUGUUCUUCAACUGCUGAAAACGUGUCAUGAUUUCAAUGGGAGCUUUGAACAGAAGGCUUUAAAAGCUUCGGGGGGAUCAACAGUUUUAUCAUUAUACAUGGAGCUUCCUGUUUCCUGGGAGCAGAAUAAUGUCCCCUACCUCUCUCUUUGAUCGUUACUUCAUUGAUCACAGUGGAGUUAGGUGGGCGUCCAAUAAAAGAAGUGAUGAUUCUCUGUUUGUUCGCUGAGACUUUCAGAGUCUGUCUGGGAUUAUAUUAGGCCUUUUUAAUAAACCGAGAGCAGAGGGUGCAUCCUGCUACCUGCUACCUCACCUCAGCAUGAUUGUAUUGGCAGUAUUGACGCACAUUAUUAUGCACAGCUAUUACAUAGUUUGAUCUGUGUUGGACAUGGGGUCAGUUUAAUUAAAUCAAUGCCAAGAUACAUUCAAGAACCCUCUCAUUCUCAUGUUUACUUAGUGUGAUCAAUAAAGAGCAUAUAUUGAUGCUCCAUUCAUGGCCUCAGCCUUUGAGGUUACCAAGAAGCAUGUUUACAAAAUGAGGGGAUCAGGAAUCGUGUCAUUUAUUUACAAUACUUUGUCCUUUUGGAUUAAAGUUUUUCCAAACAAAUAUGUCCCCAAGAAAAAGAGCCUUCAUUAGCUGUGUUUACAUCGGCACAAAUAAUCGGAAUAAAAAUGUGUCAUGUUGAUCAGAAGAUUCUGAUCUAAUUUCACUUAAUCUGAAAAAAAUUGUAUUCCAAUCGAGAGGGGUGGUUUAUGCCGAUCGUUAUUCUGAAACGUGUCCAUGUAAACUAUUAUUCUGAUCGUAACUCUCUUAGCUGACUCGAUCUUCAUUCUUUAGCCUUUCCCUUGUUUACUGAGGUCAGUACAGGAGGUUUCAUUAUUAACACUCUGGCAUAAAACACAACCGCAGGUGCCGCCUGCUCCUCCGAUAACAUAACAAGGUGUACAUACAGGGUAAUGUUGUCACAUCUGCACGCACAAAAAAUAUGUCCGCAAGGGCGCCAUGUAGUUAGAACAUUUAACAGGGGGGAAAACUCCUGAAUUGGAUGGAGUGAGCCACUACCACGUUUAUUGGUUUGUUGACUUGUUGACGGCACAGGUGUAAAUAAAAUUCUUCUUCUGCGGUUGUUUUAGCUAAAUCAGCCAACUCUGCGCAUGUCCAGAUGCUUCUAAUCUGAAUAAAGCUUGGUGCAUGUUUACAAAUAUCAUGAUCGAAUUAUUUAAUUUUGCACCCAUAUAAACAAUGGAUUCAGAUUAUCUGAUCCCUCAAAUUUGUUAAUCGGAUAAAGAAAUUUUGCCCAUGUAAACGUUGCUACUGUCAAAAACUGCAUGAUGUUUAAUUUCCAGUGUUUCCCAUACAUAAGUGAUACCAGGGAAGGCCACUCAAGUACAUUUCCAGCUGCUCAAGUAUAUUCACUGACCAUUUUUAUGUUCUCUUUUUCUAUAGGAUUAACAGCUGUGAUAAGUGAUUUAGAAUUUCUCUUGUUAACCUUCAGUUCUUCAUACAUACUCUACUCAGGCGAUCAGAGAGAAAGAGGUCUCAGUGUGUCCUUCCUGCUGAUGCAUUGUUGGAAGCACAGCAUCUCCCGCUGAUUAUGAACCUCCUCACACAGCUGUUUGAAAUGUUCUGGGUUGCUGCAUCUUGUGCACACACAGAUCACUUGUUGUGAUAAUGGAAUACUAAGUAAAAGAUUUCAAGUUGUGAGGUGUUUAGGCAUCUCCAGUAAAAAUGCAUGUUGUUAGAAGAUCAGAAUCAGACAGUUCUGAAGAAUUAAGCAAAUCUUAUAGAUGCAAGUCUUAUAAAUGCACACUAAAUAAGUAGAAGAGCAAAAGGAAAAAGGAAAAUGAAGGAAAAGGAAAUGCUCGUUUAAAUGGGACAUGCCACAGGUGAAUAAAUGCUCAAUGCUUAAAUCAAUAAAUGCUUCAACAUGAUUAAAAAAAGAUAAAGCAGCACCAUGAAAUAAAAGCAGUACAUUAAAAUGAAUGCAACUUAAAUGAAUAAAAGCAACAAAGCAGGGAUGAAAAAUUCAGGUCAUUAAGAAAAUAAGGAAGUCAGAAUGAAUAAGAAAAAAGCAUAAAGAUGAUUGAGAACUGAGAGGGUAAUACCAAGAUAUAAGAGGUAACCUAUAGACCUGAGUUUAAAGAAGUGGUUCAAAAUAAUAUAUUAUGUUUUCAGUUUGUUAAAGACAUUUCAGCACAGUUAGUGUUUGAGUUCGUAAAAGUCCAAGUUCUACAUUAUGAUGUAAAGUUUUUUAUUUUUUCUGGCGCUGCGUAUUGUUUCUGAUGAUCUAUUGUCAGUUUUAUGAACAAACUGACAAUCAGUAUUGGCAUCAGCCCCCAAAUAUUGAUAUCCGCGAACCCCCAAUUCCUUUCCAUAUACUUGUUAAACUGGGUUAUUGCACAUUUAAAACCAGCCGUGCUCUGAAUUUUGUUCAGCUGCCAAUAUAAAGUCAAUGCCUCCUCAUCCUUUCAACUUCCAUUUGUUUUGUUUCCUAAUAAAGCAAUUAAUGUCUUCCACUCUGGUUGUUUGCUUUUUGCCCUGCUGCUACCAUAAUAGUGCUCUGUUUGUCUGUUUGCAGGAGGAAAGCAUUGUACUGAAUUAUGCAUCGCAUGUCACUGCAACAGGCAGCAUUUCCAUUUCAAUUAUGAACCAACAGGCUGAGGGGCUAACUCAGUCUGACUAGCUUGAGAAGACAAAAAUGUGUUUCGUUCCGGGCCUCUGCUGUUUUUACCAUUUAUUGACGCAGCAGAAGAAACAAAGACUUGACUACUUUGAUUCUUUGAAGAGUAUUUUUAGGACAGAAAUUUCUUCAGAAUGCCUCAUUUAUAAAAAUCUAUGAAUUGCAGGUAGGGCUGGGCGAUAAAACGAUAACCAUAUAUAUGGAAAUUCAUUUCUCUCAAUGUCAAUAUAAAACAUGGUUGAUAUGCUUUUCUAUUGUCAGCAUUCUGCCAUGUUUUGGUAGACUAAGUUUACAAACCCCGAGCGGAGCAAGGACCCCAUGGAGCCUGUUCAACCAAAUCAGCUGACAUCUUACGACAAAAUGUUGAAGAAACACGAAGACCUCACAGAUGCAGUAGCUUACUGUAUUUCAAAAGACAUGCUACCAAUAAGCACUGUUAAAUUGUAUUUUUUAUAUCGUGAUAAGUAUUGAAAUAGACUGAUGAAAAAAAUACUUUGUGAUAAACUUUUUCCCAUAUCGCCCAGCCCUACUUGCAGGUAAUAUGAACAUGUACUCUUCUGAUAUUCUUACAGUAAGCACAUUCUACAUACAUCACAAGCACAAAUGAUGGACAUUAGGCAACUAUUUCCCUCCCUGUCGAAGGUCCUUGCUGCAAAAUGACUGAGCCAGUGCUGCUUUCAAAAGUUUAUUGGCAAUUUCUCUCUAUGCAUAUAUAAGCACCUAGAGGGAAUGGUUUUGUGCCAGUGUACACCCUCACAAACUGCUCGCGUAGCUGCAGAUGAAACUUGACUCAACACAACAUAUGCGAGUCUGUUUUAUGUCCACAUACUUAAUCACAACUCCUAGUCCUUUUGAAGUUAAUCUUAAAUCCGCUUUAAUAUAACCUCCAUAUAACUGAAGUUCAGGUCUACUCCUGUUAAUCUGUUCAAAUCUGCCAUUUACAAACAAGCACACAGGUGCAUCAGCAUGUUAAUAGGAUAAUUUAUACAGCGCCCUGUGGCACCCAGCCUCGCUCCCUGCUUCUUGUUCCUAGCUUGUCUUUGAUAAAGUUUAUAGGGAUAAGGUGUUUUUCUGAUCUGUGGGAAAUGUGCGUGCUUUGUUCUGAAGAGAUUGCAAGAGAGACACAGAGGCGUGCUAUAGGGGCGAAUUGGGCAUACAGGCAACAGUGUGUCACCUUGAAGAGAGGCAAGAUGUGAGGUUCAAUUCUGCAGGGAGCAGAUCUGUCAGGAGAGAAGUCUGGGCAUCUCUCCCUCGGGAGACGAAGGGGGAGCCGGGAGGGGCUCUGGGUGAGAGACAGGUGAGGAAAGCACGGAGAGACAAGAGGAAAAAAAAGGUGCUGAUGAAGGAAUAAUGAGAAAGUGUUUGUGUGUGCUGCUGCCAAAAUCCAGGGAACUGCCUCUGACAACUUAUUAGCACAUUAAAGGAAAAAAAGGGGCAACAAAACCCAAAAACAAAAACAUACUGAAGCUGCUGCUGCUUUUAGGGACAUUUUGGCCCUUUUUCUGCACUUAUGCACAUCUUAAGCUAUGCAAAUCAGGUUCUGUAUUUGCCUUGCUUGAAAAAGCAACUCUAUUAUUAUUAACAGCAAAAGAAAAAAGUCUGGCUGGGGGUUAUUUUACCUCCCCCAGCGGGAAGUCUGCAAAUGAGCAAAAAGAAAAUGAAAUGCAACAUUCUCUGUGUCUAUUAUUUCUGUAUUUUCCAUCUCUCUUCCCACAUGAGAACUCUACAUCCUCUAAAUUAAUUAGCUCUGAAUGUGUCUUAAUGAUAUUUAUACUUUUUAGUGUAAUUGUCUAAUUGUGCUUCUCUAAAGAAACAUAUACAGUAUGUUUUAGAAGACAAGUUGUUUGCGAGGGAGAGAAUUUCUCAGCUUAUUAAGGUUUUUUUUUUUUUGAUGUUCAGCACAUCAUUAAGUCUGCUCCCUUUGUGAUCGUGCCUAACUAGCCUCCUCUCUCCCUCCUUCCGCUGGCUCUCCGGGGAAAGAUCCUGCACUAGGCUGCUGGUCAAUUAGUCAGUGUGUGUAAUUCAAAGGCUGAGAAACGACCAGAGGGAGAUGGAGAGUUUGUGUUUUCUGCUCUCUGGAUGUGUUUGUGUGACUGAGUGUGGUAGUGAUGCUGAAUCUCUGCUUGCCUUUCAUCAACAUGUUUGUGUUGAAAGUAGAAUCAGUUUCCAAAUGACAGAAUGGGCGGGUGUAGCUCUCUAUCAACACUAGUGACAUGGGGUUUUUAAAGAAGUUUGCCACACACAGUCUCUGCCCUCUUUGUUGCCACUUUGUAUGUUGUUAACAAUUUCAGCAAGCAAACAGUUUGCAAGACUUAAAUCUGAAUUUGUUCAGCUGUAGCUGCAAAGCAAAAUAGUAUUGCCAUUAGCUACAGAAACAGCUUGGUAGGAAUAGGGCUUUAGUGAAAGGUCAAAAAGGAAUAUUCUAUACUUAUGUAAGCAUGAAAUUACAGGUGGACUGUCAAGUUGUGUUAAGAACACAAAUGUUAUGUUGGUAACUUAAGAUGAUUUUCAACUUCUUUUAAACUUGUUUUUGUCAUUCUCAUAUAUCUCCAACUUACUGCAGGCAACAUGGCGUCUCUGAAGUGCGGCUGCAGAUGACCAGUAAACUACACAACGUUGUCUGUAAGGGCAUUCCUCUGAUCAUCAGAUCUGCACAACAGUCAGGGCUAAAGAGAAAUAAUUCCGAGAAAAUAGCCUGUUGUGUAUUUGUGAUCAGAAUCAAGUCCUCCUACACCUAAUAUUUGACUUAAAGGGAUAUUCUGGUGUAAAAUUAAUUUAGGGUCAAACACAUCGUAACACCGAGUUAGACAACCCCUUGCCGACUGCUGAUUACGACCGCACUAGCCACUGAACAUCUUUUUAACUUUGCCUAAUUUAUUUAGCAAAGAGACUUAACACAACUCACCUACUCACUUCCAGCAGCUGCUUGUUUGUAGCGAACCCUUGGACUAGUCCAUUACAGACUGCUGCUGAGUGACGCAGCUCAAGGAAGAACAUUUAUGAUCAUUUCUUCAUGGAAAUGAAAUCAGACUGAGACGCUAAGACAGAAGAACUACAGCGUCUGCAGUGCAAAAUGAUUAAUAUGGUGAUUAUUACUUUAAAGAAAUUAUAAAGUAAUGAUCAUAAAUGUUCUUCCUUGAGCUGCACCCCCCUGCCUUAGUCAGUGAUGGACUGGUCGAGGUCUCGCUACAAACAAGCAGCUGCUGGAAGAGAGUAGGUGAGUUGUGUUUCAUCUCUCUGCUAAAGAAAUCAGGCAAAGCUAAAAAUAUGUUUGGUGGUUGGUGCUGUGGCCCCGUGUAUUGUGUAUUGCUAUCGUGCGGUUGUUACUAUAGUUGGUAUGAGUAGAGAAGCAAGUGGUCGGCAACAUCUAUCUGUGGAGGGGGUGUCUAACUCGGUGUUAUGGUGUGUUUGACCCUAAAUUAAUUUUACGCCGGAAUAUCCCUUUAAUGUGGAUGUGAACAAGUUGCAAAUGAAAUAUGCGAUCAUCAUUUCGGGCCUAGAGUUAUAAAAAUAAAAAAUUAUAUAACUGACUAGUUUAUUAUGGUGCAGCCAAGCAAAGGUGACGACCUUUAUGAGUUAAGUCGACUAAACUUUUAUUUCCGUGAUAUGAAGGUUUCCUCUUCAAAGUACUGUUUUAAUCUUGUUUGAGGGAACUUGAUGUUUGUGAGUUAAGAGCACACAUGAUUGCAUUAGUGUGCGCUCUUUGUGAUACAGUAGAUGUAUUAUUUAUAGCAGGCAGACUUUUUGUUUUUUACCCCUCAGUCUCUCCUCGUCUCCUCAUUAUAUCAAACCCCUUUCUUAAUAGCAGAGUCUGAAUGUCUAAUCAGUGCCUACCUCUGUCUCACCUCAGUUGUCAUUUACAUUACACACAAGAACCAAGUGUAAAGCCUUGCAGUUAACUGCUGUCAGCUGUUGGAGACAUAAAUCUCUUGUAGGAUCUCUUUACACUUGAAGAGAGAACAGACUUCACAUGGCCUUACCUGACCUGAACUCGCUUAUACCCCAACCCCCGCCCCACCUCUUGUGUCUCCUCAUGGAUGUUAGAAAGAUUCAUGAGUAUAUGAAAGCUUUUAAGUGUGCACUGAGAAUAUGAUAAUAUGCAGGCAGUUACAUUACACAGCACAGUAUGUAUACAUGAUCUGAUUUAUGCACCUGCACUCCGAUAAGACACGAACAGAUGGCUGGGCUGGGGCACAUAUACACAUUCACUAUCUGUAAAGAGAGAUAUAUACGUAUAUAAACAUACUGUUUGUACAGUCUGUAAACAUUAUGACAGAAGUAGCUUUACAGAAACUGCUCUCCAUCUGGAGUUAGCUGCUGAAUGUAGCAGAGGGAAAGGAACUGGACAAAUUGUGCUCGGCUCUAAACACUUCUGUCCCUCAUCAAACACCAUAGACUUUCGUAAAUAACAAGAAUAGUGUGAUAGUGUUUUUUAAAGUGUUUACAAGGCCUGUAAAAACCAGAUUAUUCCGCUAACUGGAGUUUAUAUGUUUGAUAAGUAGUUAACAUGUAGAAGGGUGUGUGGUUUUUAAAGAAACAUCUUGUAGGUGCCACAAAACGAGGACAUAAACACACUCAACACAGCCGAGAUGCCAGGAACCACUGACACCUCUCCCACUUGUCGGCCUGUGGGCGGAUCCAUCAAGCUUGUGGACCAGAAUUAGCUGAAAACAAAGUGUUUGUGUGAGUAAAUUACUGGAUUUAUGCCACAGGAAGAGGCAGAGAUGCUCUUGAAGCCAACCUUCAGUCUAAUAGCAUUUAUUGAUGCAAAACAAAAAGUCAGACUGGCAUAGAGGUGUAAGAACUCACCACAGGACUUGAUACAGCUUCCAUUGACUUAGCCUUGGCUUUCAUAUGAAUCAGACAACAACAAGUCGGGGUUUGUUUGUUACAAACAUUCUUGCCUGAGAAUAUAUUUGACAUAUUUUCCAGUGAUUUAACAACGUGUCGGAUAAAUGAUUGUCAUCUGAGCUGUCUCAGGAUGUCUGGAUCUCAUCUGGCCUCAUUUUUAAUGUCACAACUUGAUAACAGAAUAAAAAACAUUCAUUCAUUUGACAUGCUGUUUUCUGUUUUGGCACCAUUUUCUUUGGCUUCUUUAUAUCACUUCAUCUCUCUCUCACAACAUUUGCAUAAAAGUUCUUCAUUUAAAGGUGUGUUAAAGUUGGGGUAGGCAGGAUCUGAGAAAGUGUCAGUUUUGGGGAACAAUCUUAAACGUAAACACGACCCCUCCCAACCAGUUUUCCCCUCAGCUCCUCCUCUCCCCUCCCUCUCUGCUCCAGCAAGCCCCGCCCACAAACAGACACUCCUGCUUCAAUUAAAUUCAGAUAUAAUGCAGAUAAAUACUUAAGAUGAUAACAAACGGGGCCCAGUCAACGUGAAAGUGAACAGCAUUGGUGCUACUGUAGAUGCCAACAGACUACCAGCAAACACAAUGUUUGCAGGACUUCGACAACUAGGAUAAAGUGACAUAGUCCAGGACCAGAGAAACAGUUCAGCGGCGCUACAACAUGCAGCAGGUCCCAUUUGACAAGAAACACUUCUGUUACAGACACUUGGCUUACUUUGAUGAAGCGGUUUACCUGUCCAGCAGGAAGGUUACAGGGUUCCAAAGAUCCCGAAGCAUCUCCCAUCAUAAUUGACCCGGCUUUUGAGCUCUUGUCCGGUCUACCUCCUUUUUAAGCGUCUGUUAUUCUGCCAGAGUCUCUGGUAUUUACUUCGUUUUCUUGCUUGUGUUUUCUGUACUUUCUGGUUGGUUUCUACUGUCUGAUAUUGUAGCACGCUAACUUUGUUUGGGCUCUGUGCACGUGAUUUAAGGACAUGUCUCACAACACGGGGGAGCAGCGUCUGUCUCACAACCAAUCAGGUUGGGGGAGGCGGAGGAAGGCUCUGUUUACACUCAGAAAGAGCGGGCCACUCAAAUAUUAUAAAAUUUUGACUACACAGACAUAAGAGAACACAGCGAUAUCGUUAUAUUACCAAAUGUCAUCAAUUACUAAUAGCUAUUGACUGAUAUGAAAAGCUUUUUUGUAUAUACACCACAAAAAAAAGAUGCUUCUUUAAUGGAUUCCUGCCUACCCCACCUUUUUAAAGUAAAUCAUUUAGCUAUGAAAUUAUUUUAGUUUUUGUGCCUCUUGCCAUCUUGCACCAUCAUGUUCCUAUAAUAGCACUGAACAGACAAACUAUACCCCAUAUUCAUUUUAGUAUCUAGUGGAAGGCUGCCAAAAGUGCAGAGCCUGACAGACUACUGCUAAAUAUUCUCAUUUACAUGCACUGUACCUUGAAGGUGAGGUGAAACAGAGAGGGAAAACAGAGGAACUCUGUUAGUCGAGAGUAAAGAGAGGUGUAGUGUUAGCUCUGUCAACAUGUCUCAUCAGAAAUUUAGGCUGAUGAAUUGUGCUGUGUUUGAAGUUACACCAAUUUAAACUGAGCUGUGGUUAACGUUGUUUUGUGAUGCAAAGAUCUGUUUCAUUGUUAAUCGUCAGCCUGCAUGAAAACACACUGAAUAACUUUGGAUGGUAUCAGGCUGUCAAAUGUUUCAUCGCUCCAUCCUGUGGCUUCAGUGCAGAGCUGAAGACCCUUUGUGAUCUGAUCCUGGCUUUCAUAAGCUCUGACUCACUCUGGAGGGAUUUUGGUGAAGCAGGUGGAUGCAAGUCCAGGAAAGUUUGGUCUUGGUUCAAAAGAUGGCUGCUCUUUCAACAACGUGCCCUGCAUUCACUCUCGGCUAAAACAAAUCCUGCCUUCUCUUGCAGUGCUCACCUGUCUUUUAUCUCUGCACCUUAGAUUAAUAUUGCAAAACCUAUAGCUGCUACCCUCACCCUCUCUCCUCUCGCUCUUGUUAUCUCUGCAUCCCAUCACUCCCAAACACAUUCACUUCUUCACCUCGCCUUCUCGCCCUUUCUUCCCCUCCUGUCAGUUGGUGGAUAUUGCUUUUCUCCUUUCCAUCACUCAUGUUUUUCCCCGCCGCUCCAUCUCAAUCAAGAAUGCAGCAAGUUUUUAUGAAUUCAUCAGGAUGAUCAUGGACAGUCCUGGGUGGCGUGCAGGGAGGCAACAAGGCGAGACGAUGGCUGUAAGAACAGACGGAGGAAAGAGGAAAAAAAAGAGAGGGGGGAGGGAGGGAGGGGAAAGAAGAGCAAAAGCGAGGAGAAGGGGGUGUUGCUGUAGUGCUGAAUUUUAAUGAGUACCAGAGGGAAUUUCUUCCACACAUUUCUUUUCCCCUAGCUCACUUUCUGUUUUUUAUUUCUUUUUUUCUUCAUGGGAUGCACCCAUCUACUAUGACUCUAAAUCACUGUCACACAAAUGAGCUUUAACACAGCCCUGCUUUCGCCUCAACCAGCAGCAUGUCACAGAAUGCAGCCACACCAAGCAAACAGUGACCUAAAAGUUGUAAUUGAACUGCCAAUUUGUCGUGUUUAUCUCUGCUGUCUUCCACCAGCCACCAAACUCACCACAUCCUUCUCCCGGAAACCAGUGCAGAUGUAAGCGGUGUUUCUUUCCAUGACAGAUCUGCUGCUCAUUAGUGAAUUAUUCAUUCUUUUCAUUAGGAGUCUCACAGAUAGCACUGCAAACAUCCACACACUCUUAUUGUUAUUCUCUUGCUGUCUUAUCAACUUUCUCCAUAUCUUCUCCCAGUAAGUCCAUAUGGCCUUUGGCUUUUGUACACUAUCUAUGCCUUGUCUUUUACCCCUCCUCCUCCUCCUCCUUUCAUUCUCUUCAUCUCUCUCUUUUUCUCUUGGGAAGACUUUAUUAUGCUUUGCUCCGACAGCAAAGUACACAGAUAAAAGAUAAUUGCCUGGCUUGACUCCUCCAUUGAUAUGAAAAUAGGAUUUAAAUUAUUCACAGUGGUUUAAAGGUUAGUAGAAGGUUAUUACUGGCAGAUAGAAGUAGAAAGGCAACAGGGUAAGAAGAGAAAAAAAAGGCCUUGUGUGUUGCAUGCUGUGGCCGGAAGGUGAGGUGCCUUUCUGAAAGGCUAAUUUGCAGUGCAGGCAGUGGAGACAUCUUGCGAACAAACCACAAAAGCCUCUCUGGGGGAUUUGAACAUGGUGGUGGAAGUCAGUUAUUAAGCAGCAAAUUAAGGCUGGCUGCUCCACAGGAAAACAUUGUCAGUUGUAAAUAAGGCUGUAUCGGCUCCUUGCCCACGCGUGAAACCUUUUCCCUCCCUGUCCUGUCCAGACUUGUGUAGCGUUUUAUACGUCACAUUCCUUUCUUUUAUGCAAAGCCAUCCACCUACACUAGGUAAUAAACAAUUCCUUCCCUCCAGAGGGAAGGAAAGGUUGAAGUGUUGGGUUUAAAUCUGGGUCACCUCUGCUGGGACACUGGCUUGUUUUGCACUGUGGACAUGAUGCACUCAGAGAAGGGUGAAGGAGAAUUACCUGCUCUGUUGUUGCCAGCCUCCCUGAGGACACGUUCACUGAUCACAGCAGGGGUUUGUUGGAUAAAUAGGAAAGGGGAAAGGUUAUAAUGAGCCUUUUUCUACACCCCUUGUAUUACCUUGGAACCAGCUUGUGUGUCUGAAGAGCUUUGUUAUGCCUGUAGACAGGAUUCAGACAGUUCUUAUGGGGUAAGGUGGCAGCAGGUGGUCUGUUACAAUCCUGCAAUUUCUCGCAUGUCUGGCUGCAGCAGCAGUCCUCUCCCAUCGCACACCACCAAGGCUUUCUGCAUAUAUGAGUUUUCGUUUGAUUGAUAAAGUUUGUAUGGUUAAUGCUGGGACUAGUGUUUGUCACAGCCUGAAGAGCACAACCAUCGUGACUAACUUUUCUUAGUGGAGAAUACAGCUGAAGACGGAAGUUAGACUGACGAUAUAGAUUUUCCUUUGGCAAUGUAAAUGCUGUUGUCUUUUUCUCUUGGCCUGUAGCUGAAACUGAGAACAUAAAUUGACAUUUUAUCUCUUUAUAGAGUUGAUAUAGCAACAGGUUGCCCAUGUACACAUCUAGUAUAUAUUAGAAAAGCAGUAUAACUCAUUGUAAGUCAUUUUCUCGCUGACCAACAAACUUAAAACAACAAGAGAACUAUCACCAUGGUGCUUUAUUACCCCACUGCAUUCACCAGUCAUUUUCUUUGCUGGUUGUGUUUCUGGAUGUGAUCAGCGGGUCAAUCUGAGCUUACUUACUUGAUAUAGCUCCAUAAAGCGGGGCAAUGACUUUCAGUGAGAAAUAAAUAUUUGUUAAUUUAUAAAAAUUUGUAAAGACUUAAGUGUAUAACAAAUUGAAUUGUAUUAAAAUGGGAUUGUUAACGCAGCUCCUUUCCUUUUUACAAAUUUAAUGUUAAAGAAAAAAGUUGUUAAUAACUCCAAAAAAGUUUCAUUGUAGGCCUUCUUUUGUUGUAGUUUUGCAAAAACAGAGUGUUUGCUAAUAAAAGGGAUUAGUCGACCCCAGAGACUCCAUGUUUUUAACUCCAUCCUAAUAGAGACCCCCACAUGCCCACAUGCUCAGCUGUGUGAUUUGUGAACAGUAGGGCUGUAAGGAUUCACUGGUCCAAUCUGUUAUCUUAGUGCUAAAGAUGUGAGUACACAGACAGUAGGCACCCUCAAUCUGUUAAAAUAUCACUUCAAACAUUCGAUGGCGUGUUUUUUUCAGUUGUGAUCUAGUUAACUGAAGUUUCGCUGUGUUAUUUCUGUAUGCUGGGCUAAUCACCUUAAAUCUUGCAAGACUUGGACGUUGACCUUCAGCGAUAGUAAUGUUGGCCUAGAUGGCAGGCCAAGUAGCGCUAAUUAGCUCACAGCAAGAAAACAACAACAACAUCCAAGACCUGGGAAAGGAUUUACUUUGUGUAAUGUUUCUUAAGUUAGAGAAAAGCUUUCAAAGAAAGAGAGAGAUGCAACAAAAACCAAUGCCUGUUCUGUUCAACUCUGAGAUACACAUGAGGGAGAAACCUGAUUGUUUUCACCAUUACAGUUUGAACAAAAAGACUCGGCAAGCUUUGUUUAUUUCAGUCUACUGUAUUGUAUAAUUGGUUUUCUGGUGGGAUAAAUACUGUUGUUGUGGAGCUUGAAUGUACAGAAAAAAGAUUAGCUCUCUAAGUUCAGAUAAGUUGAAUUUUUUCUGUUUCCAAAGAGGAAAGUGAUAUCAUAGCAAGGCAGCCAUUAAUCAUAAAAUCAAAGCAAAUUAAGACAGCUUACAAAAUCAAAAGUGCUGGUGCUUUAAACAUAAAACAGAAUGAAGUUGAAAUGAAACCUGAUUAAAACAACAAAGGAAGAAGUGUCAGAAAAAAAGUGAGCUUUGGCCCUCAGCUGUGUGGGUAUCUUGAGGCUGAAUUUGGCUCAUCAGAAUCAAUGAGGGCUUCUUACAGCUGGGCUGAAAACUUAAACCUGUUGGAUCUUUUCUAAACAGAAUCCAAACUUGACUGUAAAAUCAGUAUUUUAAAAAGGAUAGUCUUGGAAGGGUUAAAAGGCAAAUGUCACAUACUUGUAUCUGCAAACCAUACUUUUUGACCCCAUACAAAUCCAGACCAGCUCUCUCUAUAGUGAAGAAAAUGUGUUGAUACUAAAAAGUCUAAGUCCCCUCCCUCAGCUUCUCCAAUCUAGAGAGCAUAUUGAUUACCUGAAGCUAAUCACUUGACUGCAUCAUAUCCUCAGACAGCAGCCAAGCACCAUUUUCUCUCUUACUCUUUAAUUAGUGAUACAACCCACGGGCACUAAUCUAUUCGUCCCUUCUCUGAUAUUCCUCAGAUGUGCGCUGCUUUGAUUUCUCUGACCCAACAAAGAGUAUUGGGAUGAUAUGUGCUGCAGGAAUACUGAUGUGUUCUUGGAAAGGGGGAGACUAUCAGCCUGCUAGCAGACAAGAGACCAAGCAAGAGUCUCUUUCUCCUAUACUCACACCUGUACAUGUAAUCCUCCUCAAAUAUUCUCUGAUUUAUUUCUGGUCCUGGAAAAUGAAGAAUGUGAAACACGCAGUUGGCGUGUGAAGAGGCAGGCACACAAAUGUGAAUUUGUGUCCUUGAAAGUCUUCUUCAUCUUAACAAUGUUGUGCACUCAUUUCAUUUUGCAUUUUAAACAGUGAUUGGCUGGAAUAAAUGUGAGCACAAUGAAUAAGGCAGGGGUGUUUCUUAUCCACUUCUCUCUUUACAGAUUUCACAAUCCUGCCCACUCAUUGAGAAACCCUGGUAACAAACAGCAGAGUAGCUCCUGAAUGAAUCAGCCACUGGUGUAGGACAUAAGCCAGGGUUAGGCUGCCUGGGCAUCCCUUUGAUGAGGCCAGAUUUGUGUAUCAGUCAUAAGCCAGUGCCACUACCUAGCACACUUCAAACAGGCUUAGUGCUAAGCCAAUUAGCAUGACUUUGCAUGGUGUUGAUCUGCUUGUGACAUGGAGCAGACUGAGCUUAAUUGCGUAUUGCUGCGCUGACUAAUGCUAAUUUAGUAGCCUCCAGGAAAGCUGAGCCCCGAGGUAAACAAAGCAACACGGCUAAUAUGCUGUUAGUGCUGUCUCCAUGCACCAGCAGAACUGCUGCUAAUCUGCUUACAGCCAGCAGCACGUACUCACACAGCUUCAGGCUAUAAACUGAUUUCUUUUACUCAGAAUUAAUGUACAUCUGUCACUGUUACUGUACAGCCAAGGUAUCUGCUUUAUUAUAACUCAGUGAUGACUGAAGUGGAAGCAAAGAGGAAAAGUGGGAAAUGACUCAGAUGACAUUCAAGAAUGUUGUCUUACUCAACAGGGAUGAAUUUAGGCAUUUAACAGCUCUAAAGCCUAAGGCAGCAACCACCUUUGAAGAGAGAAAGUUUUAUUAAGAUCAGCAUGUAGGACAAGUUAGAACUGUGGGCAAACUGGAGAGUAUGUGUUAUUAGAUAUUUUUAGUGUAGUCUCUGGUCAUAGUAUUAUUAAUAUGUUCCCCUGAAAAUACGCUUUUUUCUGUGAUUCAAAUUCUAUUGUAUUUAUCAUUAAUUAAAGAGUAGGGUGUACAGUCUGUGCUAUGAAAUGCAAGUUGCAUGACACCUUCUCAAAACCAGAUAUUAAUAAAUACAUCAAUAACUGGCAGCUUUAUGAGUGUGUUUGUAUAUCACAGCGGCGGAAAAGUUGUACGUAGGGUACGUAGUAUGCUAAAACUGGCAGAUGACCACUUGAUUGGAGCAGAACCUGCCCAGCAAAUGCAUGCUGAAAGGAGGCUUUAAGGCUGGAGGUGCUAGCUCUGCUAAUGUUAGCUACACUUAAUGCAUCAGAUUUCAUAUAGCGCUUUAUCAGAGACCCCCAAAGUACUUUACAUUGGAUACAUCAUUCAUUCGCUCACACAGUCACACCUUGGUGGUGGUAAACUACCUUAGUAGUCACAGCUGCCCUGGGGCAGACUCACGGAAACGUGGCUGCCAUUCUGCGCCUACAGCCUCUCCAACCACCACCAUACAACACAAUCAUACACCAGUGGAGGACACAAUCGGGAGGAUACGAUGGACAGACUUGAGUUGGUGGGAAUUCCGAUUAUUGGAUGACCGGCCUACCUCCUGAGCUACUGCCCCCCACUUAGCAAACCAGUAGAGUUUUUAAUUACCUUUUAAACAAAGCAUACUGUUGGAAUUCAAAUAUCCAAUCUUAUAUAAGUUAAACACUUCACAACAUCCCUAAAUGUAAUUGAAAAUAAAUGAAUAGAUAAACCUACAAUGGAUAUUUCAUAUUCCUACUAAUAUUUAUCAGACUAGUAAUGUCAGGGAGACCCCUUUCAGAUUGCACUAACUUCAAAUCACACAAAGAAUACAGAAAAUGUGACUUAUUUUUAAAAAUUUGCUAAUCUUUUGAAGCUCAUGCUUAAUUUUCAGUCUGCUACGAUGCACAGUUACACUUUUAAAAUAUCAAAUCUACUUAAAUCGAUUGAGAUUGAGUUAAAACUUUUGUCCUCCUACCAAUCUGUUCCUUUUCAUAUUUUUUCCAGCAGUAGACUAUUACAAAGACUAAUCAUCGUCUUGAUUCAUAAAAGUCUUUUUCCUGUAGAAAAAAAAAAAAAGCAAUUUUUUUUCGCUUGAAUCAUGAAUAUAAAGUUUCUUUUAUGAUAGAAAAUGGUAACGAGGAUACCAGUUAUAUAUCACUUGUUGCACAGUAGUGAGGGUUUCACUUACAGGCUUUAUUUAAUGUUGGAUAGAAAUAUACAUUUGAAAUAUACAGUAGGAUGUACAGUCAAACUUCCUUUUGUUUUGCUCUAACCUGGAUUUAGAUGAAAUAAGGAAUCGAAGAUGUGUUUGUAGUACCUGUAUCUGUGUGUGUGUGUUGAAUAUACUGUAUGUGGGGAUGUAUAUAGCUGGUGCAGUUCAGGCAGCCCAGUCUCAGAUCUGAGGGGGCCUGCAGGAAUGUACUCGCCUUUGAAGAGUCUGCUGUCUGCGCUCAACAAGUAUCAGGUCCAGAAUGAAGGGAAUGUGGCUUCACAAGGCCUCAUCCUGCUCUGUUUUAUUGAGGGAUCCUGUUGGCUCCCUCCUCGGGCUUCCUUUGUUGUUGUGGGGGGAUGAAGAGGGCACAUACAUACUGAUGAGGUGAGCUGGACCCAAGGCUGCAGCUCAAAGAAACAUUCUCCUUCAGUCAAAACACACAAACCAGGCGGUGCGAGACCAGGGGGGAGAAAUCACAACCAAACUGUGGUGUAUGAGAGGAAUGCUUGUUUUCUUUUACCACUGAAAGAAAGACGUCCACAUGUCUUUAAUAAAAUGGUGGAAAAAAAGACAGAUAAAGACGUGUCUAUGGAACGUUGGAUUAACAAAUUGAUAAAUUACACUUGAAACUUCACAUGGACAUGAGUACAUUUCUGAUGGACCAACAUGACAUUAACCACGGCUUAUCCGUUACCAAACUGUAGGAAACAGCUUUCAGUGAGUCUGUAAAGCAUUUGCUCCUAAUUAGUGACAUUUUUUCAGGAGUUAGGGGAACCUCAGAGGAUGUACGGUGACAGCAAACAGCAGUAAAAAGAACAAAAAUAUUUCUUCUUUCUCUUCUCUUUAUUCAACUCUCCUGCAUGACUUUGAAUCUGAUCAAGGUCUCUGCUAUUACAAGGGCAAAGAUGAUUCUUCUUUGUACUGUUACUAAAUGUCACAUUUUUGCACAUGGCAUUGAGUCUUUGUCAAAAGUACAACAAAGAACAUGGACUAUAUUUAAAAUGAAGUGAAUUGGAAACAGUCAUACUAAAUAAAAAAUGCUUUUGUCUUGAAGAAUUCAGAAAACAAACUGUAGCUCUUUUUGUUAAAACUGCUCUAGUGUCUGCCAGAGAGGAAAUUAUCUGAAAAACAAAUAAAGAGGGAUCCUUGUUAGCUUUCUUUUCACUGCGAAGCCUUAUGAUCAGCUUUCUAAACAAAGACACUUCAAGGUGAUUGAUUGUCAGCUCAGCUUUAUUCAUGGUAAACCCAUCCAGGUGCUAGAAAUAAGUAAGUGCUAGUGUAAAGGAAUGAUCAAUCUUAUAUCAGCAUCAGUGUUAGAGUAAAAAUAUUUCAAAAUCUAUUCAGAACUUGGUAACACUUUACAGUAACCAUAACUUAUAAAUGGUAAAUAGACCAUUUAUAAAUGGUAAGCAGAUAGUUCCUUAAUGUUUAAUCAUUUAUAAAUGGCAUACAUAGACCAUUAAUAAAUUGUAAAUUUUACAAUUUUAAAAACCUAACCCUAACCCUGACUAACUCUAACCUCAACUUUACAAUAACCAUCUAAGUAAUGUUUAUAGCUGGUGUAUAAACCACUUAUUAAUCUAAACUACAAACAUCUGUUGCAACUUUACAAUAACAAUCUAGAUGGUUAAGAAAAAAACAAACAUUAACCAUUUACAAAGUGCUACUGACACACAUUUUAAACUAGAUGUUUUGAAACCAAUAUUUAAACCCUAUAUAAACCUUUAAUAAAUAGUCCAUUAAUAAUUAAUGAAAAUUAUUCAUCAUAAUUUCAUUGCUCGUUAAUGGUAAAGUAACUAUUAACUUACAUUAAUACACUAUCUAUUUGCCAUUUAUAAUUGGUCUAUAUGCUGUUUUUAAAUGAUGAUUAAACAUUAAUAAACUAUCUAUUUGCCAUUUAUGAAUUAUGGUUAUUGUAAAGUGUUACCCAGAACUCUUUACUAUAGUUUUCCUGACUACAGUAAACCAGUGUCUGGGGAAGAAUAGUCAUAUUUUCUUCACACUCUUUGGCUUGUUUUAACAUUGAUUUCUAUGGAGCUGAGUGGAGGUUAAUUGCUUUCAAAAUCCCAGACAACCUGAAGGCACAUGAUGAGGACUACUUAAAAUACUAAAGAAAACAGGAGUGACAGUGGGCACGCUCAAAGACUGUGUUGUGGUCGUUAGCUGAAAAAAAACUGCAUGUACAAGUGUGUAAGGCAACUUUUAUUAUAAGACAGUUAUAAAAACAGUUGCAAAAGCCAAUGUUGUCCAAAUACAUAAAUAUGACAUAGUUCCACAUUGCCAAAACCUUUCUCUGUAUAUGUAUAUACUGUGUCUGUACAAAUAAAAUCCAAAGUGAUUAAAAAACAUGAGCUCAUUUAACAGAGGGGAUUAAACGAAAUCUGUAACAUCUAUAUCACCUGCAAAGUUGAUUGACCUUCAGGAAGGAGCUUGCUUGCAGUGUUUCUCCUCCUCCAUCCUUUCCUCCCUCCAUCCUCUCCUCCCUUCUCCUUCCUCCCUCCAGCACAGCAUUACUUACUCCUGACUCCUGACUCAGCGUCUCACCGGCCCAGACACCGAUAUUGAGUGCUUUUUAUCGUAGCCGCACUUUUUCCUCGUUUGAAACAAUAUAGCCUGACUGUUGCUAUUGAUUUUAGUGGAUUGUGCUCUGGUAAGCACUCCUUCAAGCCCCUGCUGCUAUAUUAAGCAAUCGUUUCCCACAAUAGAUGACACUCUUUCCCUGCCUCCUGCAGCAAUUUGGUUGGCUCUAAUGGGCCCAGCAUUACUCAAACUCCACAUUGAUUGUACGGUGGAGGAUUUUAAAAAGGAGAGGUCGAAGUUUCCGUCAAUGUGGCUGUCACAAACGAGCCUGUUUUUAGAUACGUGGGGAUUUUUUUCUUUCCUGUGGCCUGGCACUACCUGACAGUUCAAGGUAGUUGUGCUAUUAAACGAUGUUCAGCUGUGAUGCAGACAUUUUGCUGGUGCAAAAUGGAACUGAAUAGCCCACUGUGAAGUAUCUUGGACUGGAAAUGAAACCUUGAAACAGUGAUGUGCCUGGAUUGAUUCCACUGGCCCAGCAUUUAUUUGCAUGUCUUUGGUUCUAAUGUGAUGUGACUACAUUUUCCUGCCAGGCACUGAGGCCCUCUGAAGUAUGUCUCUUUAAAUCACUGGGGCCUUGGGAGUGCGACUGCAAAUGAUUUCAGACUCUGGGCUGCUUUUCACAUCAGUCGUGGUGCAUUGGAUUCCCGCUACGCUAUCUGCUAUCUCCUCCCCAUGUCACUGAGCGUCAAUAAAUCAGUACGCUCUACAGGCAGACCAGAGAACAUGUGGGGAGAAUAACAUGCCCUGUAGUCACGCAUAUUUAAAUAUACAAGGGCUCCGUGUUGCUGCUGAUUGGGCCACACAUCACUGCCCGCCGCUGCACCCAAGACAGCGGAAAAAAUGGCUGCCGUUUGGGAACACUUAAGUGGUGAAGCCAUUUAGCAUGUGACUCACCAACCUAAUCUAAUUGGCUGCACACCACAUACAAGAGCAUUUUGUGUGAGAGAGUGUGUGUUUCUUCGUCUUUUACAGAGAACGGUGUUUAAAAUGUAGAAAUGAGAGAAUUUCACACUGUGGGCAUCCAGGAUAGGCAUGUGUGAGAAUAACACAUUUCAAUUUUUCACCAUCAGGGAGAGGAAAUGCAAAUCAUAAUAUAUUUUAGAACUGUCCUGUUUGUAUUUUGGUUAUGUGGUUUUUCAUUUUGUCCAGAAUAUUUCAGACUGUAGAAAUAAAAAAACACAGUAAUGACAACUCACUGCCAGGUUCUUCUUUCUGUGAGGUCAAAAACCAGGACUCGGGUAGUAAGGGUCAUAAUAUUUACAAAAAUAUGAUGUCACUGAUGAAUAUUAGUGUCUAAGAAGCUGGAAGUUUACAAAGUUCAGUUUUUUGCUCUUCAAAAGUGUUUAAAAAUUAUUUCAUCUGAAAAACAUUCAGAUUAAUUAGUGCAGAACAGAAACAUUUUUGUGGAUCCAUGAUUAAAGUAACUGUUUGUGGUGCAGCCAACUGUCCCAGAUAUUUAUUUUGGUUUGAGUGUUGUGUUGGCAAAAAGCAGAUAAGUCCUGUUAUCUUUCUUUAUCUGUCUUUAUUUUUUUUUCCAGCCUUGGCAAAAUAUUAUCUUGUGUCCCCCAACAUUUUUGUUCAUCGUGUUAUUCAGGCGAUUGAAGGAUUAUAAACAGUCCCUGCUUGAUUUAUCCCUUCUUCUUUCAGUUCAGUGUUCCUACCAUGAUUGUCAAAGUGAAACUUUGCAUUGCAUUUGGCAGGUGCUUAUUUUUAAUAGUAGAACACAUAGACUAUAUGUUUUCAGUCCAUGCAGGUUAUUUUAGCUUAAACUUGAGAACUCAAGGCUAAAAACUCAAAGUCAAGAAUCUACACGUCCUAAACUACUCAGAAAACAUUACUUAAUUUACAAGAUGUACACGACAUAUUUCAAACUGUCUGCUAUUCAUCAUCAGAAGUAAAUCUUGCCUCUUAGGUGGGGUUAUGUGGUGGAGUAGGUUGUUUCUAAAUCUUAAGGUUGGUGGCUGAAAUGUUAUUAGGCAAGACGCUGAACUGCCUGGUGACAGUAUAUGCGUAGAAAUGGGAUAAGGAAAUGGGAUUUGAGGAUGGGCAAAUGUGAUGGGAGGUGUGAAAGUACUACAAGUGGUCAGAAAGACUGUUUAAGCACAAGUUCAUUUGCCAUUUACUGAUUACCAAAAAGUAGAAGUACUUAAUAAACUCAAAUAUAAUUUCCCAGAAGACUUUUGAGCCCAAGAGCAUGUUCUAACUUUUCAGUGAAGGGCUGUGCUCAUUAGUUUGUCUUCAGUCUUUUGUUCAGAGAUGCAGUCAGCAGUCUCCUCAUGUGUUCAUGUUAAAGCACAAGACAACUGACACUGGGAUAGAGGUGGGGGGGAUUGGGGUGGGGUUGUGAAUAUUACAGUAGAGGCUACGUGGCGUGCAUCCAUGCAAAAGGUUGUGGCUGCCCACCCAGCUGUCUGUCAACAUCUCUGAGGGGACAACUGUCAGAUUAAGAGCCCCAGCUUAAUGUCAAUAGAUCACAAUCUGCCUCCUGGCCUCAAUUAUAUUGCCUCUCGUCCUCCAGCCUCCCUCCGGUGUGGAGAGGAGUAUUAGCUGUGAGCCUCAUCAUGUAUUCAGAGCUGUAAUGGCUUCUCCGCGCCUGCACCGCAUAGAUUAGCACCGAGGGCCGAAGGGAAGCUACAUGUUGGCACAGGCUUUAUGAACAUUGCCAUGAUGGAUGUCGGGCCCGAGUGUCAUUAGUGCUGUUGUGCUGUGAAUUCAGCAGUAGAUUGGCAGAAAAUCCUCUCAGCAUGGCUUGAUAUCCUGUUAGUGGAGCCACAGCGUGGGACAUGUGCACAUGUGCACUAAGGACUAAUUUACUAAUGGAAAAUUGGGCCUAUUUGUGUGAGUUACCAAGGCUGGAUAUUUUUUUUUGUCACUGUUUCUGUCAUUUUCCCAAUAACUAUCCUGGGUGUAAUAUAUACUGGUGUUGUGAGGAUGUGGAGUGGUCUCAUUUGUCGAGGCUCAAAAACACACACACAUACACACACACAUUCACACACACAAGCACACAAACUUUUUAUUUUUCCAUAUAUUGCUUUUACCCUCCCACUCUUUCACACAUGGCCAGUCCCUUUGGGCCCACCUCUGCUCGCCGAGGUUUAUUAUCUAUUUGACAGAAGGGCUGGCGGAAGGCAUUUGAACAGCCCAUAAAUUGUCAUGCAGGCUGCAGUGUGAUGCCGACUGCUUUCAUUCCCCCGGCAGCCUGGCAUAUAACCUCAGUGCCAGCCCAUCACAACGCCAUUUGCCGAUCCAAGUCGAAACAGUGCAGUGCAAUUAACGGCAUAGAUCAUUUACAUAGUGGCUGGGCUCAUUUUCAUAAUGUUUCCUUUAUUAUCAGAGGAAGAAAUUAACCCAGGAAUAUAUUUACAUACCAGCCGCCAAUCGUAACAGCUUGCUAAUUGCCUGUUAGAUGAUUAAUAAGCUUACAGCAGAUGCUAAUGAAUCGAGCACUCAUUGUUUCAAAGGUGCUCAUGUGGCAGGGCUCGUGUUUUUUUGCAGCUUAAUUACGGCCAUAAUUAUGUACUUGUUGCAUCUGCUUUGAAGCAAAUACAAUCAAACAAUGGAAACAACAUAUAUCUCAGUGAAUGGAUGCGUAAUUGUAGUGGAGUGUUGUUGCUUGUUAGCGAAAGAAACUAUUUACACAUUACCUGACUUUCACAAAGCAUUGGAUUAAGGUUAGCAUGAAGGUCCCUGUGAAACCACGUCUGAACUGGGCCAGUUUUAAGUUUUAAGGUUUAAAGGUGUGCCUCGAGUUUAAUAGUCAAGGUUUUAAAACCUUUGAGAUUUUCAGUCGUACAGUUUAAACAGUGAGAGCAAAUGUUGCGCGCGCUGCCCCCAUUUAAACUGGAUGUGGUCCCCCAGGCAUCCAAGCACCUGACUGGUCAUCCAGAUAUUCAGGAAAAAUAGAUACUUGUCAGAUGACCGUUAAAGGGACAGAGGAGCCUGUUUUGGACAGUUCUUUAUGUACUGGCAUUGAAAUGACUGAAUCAACAUAACUCAAGUUUGAGAUUAUUCUAAAAAGUAGUGAUGUUUGUUUUUAAAAAAUCCUAUCGAUCAGUUAUAUAUUUUCUUAUAUUAUCCAUCAGCUCCUAUGAGGAGUUUGUAUAUAUAUUAAUAAAAUGGACUAGAAUUCAUAAUUUUGCCCUUUUGUGUUAUCCAAGAGCAAACACGAAAAUAAGCCGUAAUGCUGACAAUGUGUAAAGCAUAAUUUUUCAUGCCUGAAAACUGUUUGGAGGGUGUAGGUGUGAGCUGAGCUGCAGAAAAAAAACAAGCCCCAUUUUUAAUAUCAACAACAAAUUAUUCAUUUGACUGUAAAAGCCAGCAGAAUUAGAUUUUUGUGGCAAAAUACACAACUUGUGCUUGGAAAGGAUGAGAUAAGCAGAUACUGCUUUGUCCACAGGGGGUGCUAAAAUUUAAAAAACAAAGAUUUCCUUACAGGAGCUUUAACAUGCAUGUCAACUAAUGUUAAAAGAUUCUAUAUGUUGUUUGAGAAUAAAAUAGAUUAUGUUUGAUUGAAAAAAAAGGUUAUUUUGUCACCUGGAGUCAGACACUUCAGAGUCACACAUUUUAUUAUCACAGACAAGCUGUAAGCCAUGUCUUUGAGGACUUGCAGGCAUUCUUUCAACACUGUAAUAAUAAUAAAAAAAGUCUUGCUAACUUUGUCCCUCUUUGAAGAUAAAGUGAAAUUACGAUGCUGGUCCCCUAACAUUUCAUCUACACCAUCUUUUGGGAAAAAUUACCUUCAAUAACUGUGCUGUGUUUUAAGUGCUAAUUUGCAGGUGAAAUGAGGCAUACAAAGACACCAAACCGGUAUGAUUAACGUUAUGUCUUACCCACUUUGAUUAAAUAUGUAAGCUUUCACACGUAAAUUUGUCAAAAUACCAACACAGGCAUUUCAACAUAUGCCAUCAUGUAAUGCUUCAUAAUUAAUAGGCACAUGCUGGUUGAUAGCUAAUGGCUGGUGGUCUCUUUUCCAUGUUGCCUUUGCUGUCCAGUGUAAUUUAGGAGCCUGUGCACAUUAUGACUCAUCCAAACAGUCCAUCUCGCCAGUCAUAUCACACUUGAUAAAUUGCCUUCCAUUUUACAACGUUAGCUCCAGGCUUACCCACAUCCAGAGUAUGUUUUGCCUGAAGGGAAAGUUGCAAAAAUGACACACCCACAUCAAUUCUCCCUCUCUCCCCUCCUGUCUAUUCUCUGGUACAGUAUUAUCAUACCCAUCCUAACUGACAGAUAAGCUUUGGUUUAUGGAAUAACGGCUGACUCACCAGUGGUGAUGCAGAACCGAAUAAAUCCCUUUUCAAAUCCGCUGCUUUGCAUCACUUAUUAUUUCAAAUAUCCCCCGUGCUGUUUUAAAGUCUUGUGCUUGAGAAGUGGCUCACACACAGACAGAGACACACACCUACACAAUCUCUUCUCCAUUUUACUCUGAUGCAUGCUCAGUGCCCAUGUUACACAUUUAGAAAGAAAAUAUUUCCCUAAUCCCUGUCUCCUUUUUUUCCCAGGCUUUAGUUUCCAGUUUAAUAAAUGGCUGUGAUUUAAUUGUACCGCAGCACAGUGCUCUCAGUGCAGCAAGUGAUUAGCACGACAAUGUCUUCUAAAACCCUGUGCUGCUGUUUAUUUAAUUGUCCCUGUGAUGCUGCGGCUAUGCUCUAUUUAUUUUGCUGCUUAACUAAAACAAAAGGCAGGGUUCAACUUUAGUGGAGGCUCAUGCAAUAUUGAAGAGAGUGGAAGACUGCACCGCACUCUAGAGAUGUGUCUCCCAAACACAGCACACAAAACCAAGUAAGUGUGUACUGUACGUGCAUGUGUGAGUGUUCAGUCGUGUUCGUUCAGUGUUUGUGCCAAGCCUGCGAAUAACACAACUUUCAGUCUAUGAAUAAUUUCCUGUGUUUAUGCUUUCUUUGCCCCCUGAGUUGCUAUUUUUUCCCUCCUGGCUUUCUUCCAUUUCUGAUGCAGAUUUUCUUCCUCCAUCUCCCACGUUUCUUUCCCUUUUACCUCAGUGAUUACUUGUAAUCAUCACUGCAACAUUUGAAUAUGUUUUGGUGUUUUCAGUCGUGGCAUUCUUGAGUAGGUCGUAUAAUUUAAAAACUUUUGCUGGUGCUUUUUGUCAGCAGAAAAAAAAGUAAAGAAUAAAAUUAAGGACCAUUUAGCCCAUGUUGCUGGGUGUAUUAUCUAAAUCAGAGACUUUAAGGGCUAUGAGAGGCCUCACUUCAUGCAAUUCACACAGUUGAGCAAACGCUAAUGUCCAUUAAUCGGCUCUUGUAAGUCAGCCUUAUGCUGUCUGUACACUGAUUACAUUUUUGAGAUGGUAACUGCCUUUUGGGUCAAGAAAUCAUCUUUUAUGAUCUCUUUCAGUCAGGAGUUGGUUGGCAUGGUUAUUGGUGCCAUUCGGGCUGGUCUGAUUAUUUCAGAAACUGCUGAUCUACUGGGAUUUUCAUCUCAAGGGUUUACAGAGAAUGAUUCCAUGAAAGUAUCGAGUGUAUGGAAGUCGUGUGGAUGAAAGUGACCAGAGGAGAAUUGGUAGACUGGUUUGAGAUGAUACAAAGGCGUCAGUGAGUCAAAUAACUAUUCCUUCUAACUGAUGUAUGCAGAAUACCAUCUCUGAAUGUGCAACACGCCAAACAUUGAAGCAGAUCAGUUACAGCAGCAGAGCAUUAUACAUUUUUCUUUUACUUUAUAUGGGUAAAGAGCAGUUUCUGUUGUUUAAGACGUUAAAUGUUCUUCACUGCAGGGGGAAACUAUGACUAAAAGCUUUUCGGUUGUUCAUCUAUCAGGACCCCUGGAUUAUUUGUGCCAUUGUUGUAAAUGCUAUAUCUCCAUAUCAAUAUUAUGACACCAUUCACUCCUAUCACUCUGACAUAAUUGAAGUCUUCACUGUAUAAAAUGUGAUGAAUCUGGACAGACCUGAAUGUUAUAUGCAUUUUGACCUUUUGGCAAAAGAAUAGUUCUGUAAUUCUGGUUUCAAGUUUACAGUCCAUCUUUGCAGGUUUUAAAGGUGAAGAUCAAAUUUCUGUCACAAAAAAAUCUUCUAAUUGUAAGGAAACAAUAUCUAAAUGUGAUCUAACCUGAGAUAGAGGUUUUUUGUUAUCACCAGUCAUCCCUCUCUAGAUGACGCAGUUACAUCCGAGGUUAACAGGAAACUGAUAAUUGCCUCAUGAUGUAGGUAAUUUAAGAAGUAACUCUAAAUGGCUUCAUUGUUACCAGAAGUGCCCACGGGGCUGAGCUCACCACAUGUCUGAAGUCAGCUACAAACACUGACAGGAACACCCUCACCUUUAGAUUCUUACAGAUUAUUGAUCUGAGAAACAUGAUAUGGACAUGCAGAUGCUGAAGUACCAGGAACAAUUGUUGCCUCAUGUUGUGUCCCUACAGAAAAUCAUUAAAGUAAAAAAUAGACCUGUCUCAAACUCCUGCUCUUGAUAAUGUGUCUGAUUUGGCUGGAAAUUGAAAAUGAAGGUAAAGGAAAAUCGGGACAUGCUUACUCUUGACAAAACUAACCUUGAUAUCAACAAUCAAGGAAGAAGAGAGAUUGAAUCUCCCUCCUUUACACAGUUGGUGUAAUGUGGGAAUGUAGUCGCAUUACAAUGACUCAAUAACUGAAUGAUUGGUGUGAAACACAAACAUGUUCUGCCUUUCAGCAGCUGAGGGAGAAGCACAACCAAGUUGAUAUCUGUGUAAAAGGGGCGUUGGAAGCAGAGCUGCUGUACUGAUAUGUGUACGGCACCCUGCUGGGGGAUUUAAAAUUUGCCACCCACGGGAUGUUGCAUCAUGUUGUAUAUAUAUUGCAGUGCAACUUUGUGUAGAUUUGAAAACAUAACUUCCUCAUUUAGAUGUUAAUUAAUGAUUUAUGUCGUUGCUCUUUACAUAUGUUUAUUUGAUUACAUGUAACUCCUCACAUACCGAAAUCAUUUCCGGAAUAGGGCAGGAAUAUAGCCUAUGUAAAACACAUAUGACAGGUCUAGUUUUGUUUUAAUGUUGUGUCAUUUUUUUAUAUCAUCCUCUAAAAAUACUCACAGAAGACCAGAUCUGUGUCUUUUAUAUCUAUUAAUCUGCUUGACAGAGCAUAAUCUGGUUUCUCUUGUCUCCUGCGUCACUGAGGUUUUUACAACAACAAGUCAUUGCAGCAGUUUUACUUUAGAGGCCAGAUCCUGCAUAUGUAACAGACAUCCCCUGUUUCUGUCAGGUCAGGGGAAAAGUUUGAGUUUACCUGAGUUUUACUUUUUCCUGUCUGUGCCAAGUGAUGUUUAAAGUAUGUCUGGAUGAGUUUAUGUGAGGACCACUUUGAAACAGACACGGGAGCAAGCUGAAGUGAUGUACAUCCACCAAAGCUACACACACACACACACACACACACACACACACACACACACACACACACACACACACACACACACACACACAUAUUAUACAGGCCAUACGAGCGAUACAUACUGCAGUACAUUAGCCGCGUAUGCUGGCAGGGGAUCUUGAGGAAACUCAUCUCAGCUCAUUUAUUCCAAAAGUUGGCCAGAGUCUGCAAAAUCUCGCUCAUAAAAUAUUAAUAUUAACAAAUCUUCAAGGGAUGUGUAUGAAAAUAUUGUAGAGGGACCAAUUAGGCGGAGUGCCUGAGGAUUUUUACACUUUCUCCGAGGUUUACAUUUUCUUACAUGUUUUACACUCACUGAGGAAAUUGCAGUUUGUGGAUCAACACAUUUCACUAAAGUCUUACUCUCUAUCUGAAAUGUAAAUUACUUAUUAAAUUUAAUAUCAACAUCUAUGCAUAUGAUAUUAACAUGCAAAUAUGCACUCAUACACUCAAACACACUCAGGCUGAUCGUAAGAUGUGUCUCGACUGUAAAGGCACAAACAGUUUGUCUCUAUGCGCUUUAACUCCUGCAUUAUUCAUGUAUUCAUUCAGGCAAAUGGAUCGUCAUAUGUGCUUCGUUCUCCAUUUGAAACAGUUUGCAGCUUUUUAAUGAUUAAAAAAAAAAAAUCUUCGGUUUCACUCAGCAGCACAACUUGAUGUAGUUUGAGGUGUUUGAAAGUCAUUUCUCGUGAGGCUGCUUCAGAUGAAGCAGUGCUUGAUUAGAGGGAUUGUUGAUCUUAUCUGGGAUUUAUUUUUGAAGAAGAAUAUUAGGAUGCAGCCCCGUGUGAGUGGAAAGUUUCAAGAAGGUGAAUCAGUAGUUACAUUGUGGUUGAACUGUAGCAAAUGAUGACAACUCUAAUUUCCUUCUUAUACCUCUGCGAACAUAUCAUAAAAAGACAAGCCAAUACAUUACCCCCGUUCAAGGUUAUUGCACUGUUAUGGCCAUUAUGUUUAUUAAUGGCUAUUCCACGUCACCCAGCGGAGGCUGACUCAUGCUCUGAUUAGUCUUCUUGGUCUUUGAGUGCAUCCAGACCUGACGAGGUCAAAUAAACAGCAGGAAGGAAGACCACCUGAGACAGCUGCAGUCAGGCAGUUAAAUCCCUUUCCAGAGACAUCCCAAACAAACCUUAAGCAAGGUUAAUUUGUUUUUGAAGAUGAAGGAUCUACCUCCUCGCAGGAAAAUAAGCUCAGAGUGUGAAGCACUGUGGAUUACACUGGUGUUUCCUUCACUGUUUGCAGUUUUGCUGUUGCGUCACUACAGCCUAAGAACUGUUUAUCUGGAGUAUUUAAAUGUCUUUCACGCACAGUAGGUUGGAUCUUAAAGGUGCAGUAGACAGGACAAUUUUUUUAUAAUUUUGCAAAAAUUUCAUUAUCACCUUCAGCGUAUUGAAUUUGAAAUGAUCUGGGAGAAGAUCACACUUCUGCCUCCCAUCCUGGCUUUGUAAACAGGUUUGAGAAAAUCUAUACUGUGAUGGAAGGUUUCAGCCAAUCACAGGCCAGUUGAGAAAGUCCAUAAGUAACGCUGAUGUGCGUUUGCGACACAACCCUGGUCACACUGGCUGAUAGUCGGAAAGAAAAAGUACCUAUUCUUGUAGUGGCAACGACUGCCUACACUAAAAAGCAGGCCAAAGAAUGAAAGAUUGACUUUUAUAAUCAUGGCCUGAUUUUUAAAGAGAUGGCCAACAUUAUCAAGAGAUGAUUUAGGCCAAAAACUCUUUUUCACCAAAAAAUUACUGAAGCCAUUAUUUUAAUAGGGUGAUGAUAUUGUAUUUUUGCAUUCGUUUAAAAUGCUGUAUUGGAUUCCACAUUUCCAGGGUGCAUAGACUGAGAUAAAGUCGUGGUUUAUAUUGAUUGAAUCCCCCUUGGAUUAUUGAAAAUGAGUUUUUCUUAAAAGGACCAAGCAUUUGUUUGUCUGUAAAGUAAGAGUUAAAUUUUACAGAUCUGAUUUUAAAAAUCUAUCAAAUACAACAAAAACAGAAAAAGACUUUCUGUCUCUUCAAACUUCUGGUACUUUACAGCUAAAGACCCGACAGUUAAACCAACCAAGAGGACAGCUUGUUAAAGAAAACGGUGACUCACAGAGAACAGCUCUCUUAAACAUCAAUUCUCUGCACCUCAUUUUCUGGCUCAUGACUGCUAAUGUUUGCGUAAUACUGCAUUCCACAUAAAUUUGCCUCCUAAUCACAAACAUCUGGUAGUGGAGUUUGCUAAGUGAUACUAAACAGCUAAAUCUGUAAAACAAAUAAAAGUGGCUGACUGUUCUGUCAGCGCAGUAAAACGCACUCGCUUGAAAGUAAUAACAUCGUCAGCUGUGCAUUUGGCCCUGUCUUCAGUCAAACCUCUGACACAGUGAUUUGUCUGCUUCAAUCUUAAUUGCUCCCCAGAAGGAGCCAAACUCAGAGUUCAUUCUCUGCUGGCACCUUGUAUUAAUUAUGGAUAUUGCUUUGGCAACACUACUAACUCAUUCAGCGCUUUCUCUCUCUUAUCCGAUGAGCGCUUGUUUCAUGAGAGGCUAAUCGGAGAGUUGUGGGUGCUUUCAGGUCAGCAGGCCCUCACUGCUUUCCUGUAGCUGCAUAAAGGUGUAUAAAAAUCAUAGAGAGAAACAUCAACCUGAAAAAACCUUAAAGUAUUUUUAGGUUUGGUCUUAGUACUUCUUUUUAAAAAAGUGGGUUAAAAGUGCUUCAACAUCAACUACAACUUCCAGCGUAAAAUUGAUUUAGGGUCAAACACACUGUAACACCGAGUUAGACACCCCCUCCAGAGAUGAAUGUGUCCGACCACUUGCUUCUCUAGUUAUACCAACUUUAGUAAUGACCACAUGAUAGCAAUACACAGCAGCCUGAGGAGCCAUACACAAACCUCAACCAAAACACCACUCUAUAGCCACAAAUAUUGCUCAGAACUUCACCUAACUUCACCAAAGGUACAUAUAGGGUCCCAGCCAUAGCACUAGCCACCAAACAUCUUUUUAGCUUUGCCUUAUUUCUUUUGCAAAGAGACCAAACACAACUCACCUACUCUCUUCCAGCAGCCGCUUGUUUGUAGCUUUGGGCCAGUCCAUCAUCAACUGAUCCAGGGGUGACGCAGCUCAAGAAGGAACAUUUAUGAUCAUUUCUUCAUGGAAAUGCAAUCAGACCGAGACGUCAAGGCAGAAGGGCUACCGCGUCUGCAGUGCAAAAUGAUUAAUAUGAUGAUUAUUACUUCAAGGAAAUGAUAAAGUAAUGUUUAUAAAUGUUCUUUCUUGAGCUGCGUCCCCCUGCUUCAGUCAAUGAUGGACUGGUUGAGGUCUCGCUACAAACAAGCAGCUGCUGGAAGAGAGAAGGUGAGUUGUGUUUAGUCUCUUUGCUAAAGAAAUUAGGCAAAGUUAAAAAGGUGUUUGGUGGCUAGUGCUAUGGCUGGGACCCUAUAUGUACUGUUGAUGAAGUUAGGUGCUGUUCUGAGAAUUAUUUGUGGCUAUAAAGUGGCGUUUUGGUUGAGGUUUGUUUAUGGCUCCUCAGACCGCUGUGUAUUGCUAUUGUGCGGUCGUUACUAAAGUUGGUAUAACUAGAGAAGCAAGCCGUCAACAACAUUUAUCUCUCGACAGGGUGUCUAACUCGGUGUUACAGUGUGUUUCACCCUAAAUUAAUUUUACACCGGAAUAUCCCUUUUAAUGUAAAGAACAAUUACCAGUAGAAUUUGAGGUUGUACUACAGUGGCGUUCAUGAAGUUCUGGCUGGUUAAUGUGUUUAAAUAUUGGCACAUGAGCACCGAAGUCUGGAGCAAAGUGAAUGAUUGAAGUUUUACUGGCUUACAUUGUUGCCUAUUAUAGUGUUUCAGAGACUGAGCUCCAAACGUCAUUCAUGGGAAAUGUGAAGAUUUGUGGAAUUAUUUGACAAAAAUGAAAACCAGACUCUUUUAUUGGUUGAUUGGCAGAAACUUUAAACCGCUUCAUCACUUUCCCUCUUUUCUGGUGUGAUCUGUGUUGUUAUUCUUUGGACUUUCGAUACUGUAAGUGAAGGUUUUAUCCACAGGGGAUGAACUGACAUCACCAAGGUUAGACUGACAAGUGGAAAACAAAACCUCUCUGCAGACUUGCUUUGACCCUGACUCUGCUGACCUCCACAUCCGUGACAGCCAGAAAAUGUGUGUGUGUGUGGAACUUGUUUGAGUGAGCAGCCUCGGUCAUACAGAGUUGAACUCGUGUUUUUAUUAACUUUUAGCCACUGGCAGCCAGGAUGGAGUCACUUGAUGAAAUCCCUCCUGCUGCCACAUUUCACUUGGAACACUUUUGGUUUGAACAAACACACGUCAUCCUUUUGUGUUCCUCCAUGUUCCCCAUUUUAAAAGCUGUAAAGUCUUGGCAAGUCAUGUUAUUUUACUAAACCUGUAACUGAUUAUGCCAAUUUAUUAAGUCCACAUCUUUCUGCAAUUUGGACCCCCUCGCUCACUCCCUAGCAUGUAAUCCUCUUUCGGACAGUCAAGUUGUUUUCCGUACCUCAUAAAUUCGAACGUGUCGUAGAUGUUUCUUGACAGAGUGCAAUCAUCAGUGCAAACUACCGUUCAAUUGACUACAGAUUCGCAAACGUCAUACACUCUUGAGGCCUGUGCAGCGGUAAACACUAUCGUGUCACUUAGGGAAUUGGUGCUUUUACACGGAUGUCAGAUGUGCACACUGUCUCCAUUAGCUGCAGAAGUGGGGGUGACAAUUAUGUUGGCUAUCCAGCAGAGGACACAGGCUGCAGCUGUACUCCCAUUACUUUGAUUCGCUCAUGUCUCUGGGGAGAGUGUGAGUGGGAGUAGAGGAGGUAAGGAGGAGCAGAGGGAGGUUUCAUUAGAUGCCUAUCAGAGAGUCAAAAUGGCAGGUGAAACUCCUGGCUCGCCUGCAAAUGUGAGUGUGAGUGUUCAUAGACGCAGUUGGCAUUUCUCCAGACCCCUCUGCCCUUGGCUUAUGACGAACCAGGGAGGUGGGUAGGUAAUAGCUUUCCAGCACCUGCUUAUUCAUCCAAAAUCCUUCACUUAAAGGACGUAGGAGAUUAAGUCCUGCUCAGGUGUCCCACUUCCCCCAAACCUGCUGACCUUUGCUGAUUGACUCGUCAAUACUGAGCCAACUUUCUGCUUUCGGAGUCAAACUGUCCUGCACAGCAGAACACAGAGACUCACCUCUGACAAAUGAAGACAAAUGUCUUUUGGAAGGCAGCCAUUUUUAUUAGGAAAUGUUUUUUCCCCUCCCCUCCUGUUAAUCACUCCGAACAACAAGGAUUUCAAUGUCUCCAUGUGAAUGUCGAGUGCUAAGUGGGAGCAAAUGUGCUGUGACAACAGCUUUUUGGAAAGAGAAGGGGAAUAGAAUAUCUCUGAUGUAGGGGGUGCAGUUAAAUGUGUGAAAGUUGCCUCUUGGCUCAUUGGGGAUUCUGGUUGUUGGCUUCCAUAAAGCUUAUUGCCACAGCUCAUUGGCGCAGACACUUUAGGAUGAUGGACUGACUGUGUGUCCGGCAGGCUGCCUGUGUGGCAGUGGGGAAAACAAGAACUGACAUGCAUUGUAAAUUUUAUCACCAGACACAACAAAAGUUGCACUUGUUUUUGAAAACCACAUGACUGCUUGAUGGAACAUAUUUUAACAUAUUUCCAUUUAAAAAACAUUGUAGGAAACAUUCAGUUGCAGCAUGUGAAAUACACACACACACACACACACACACAAAGAGAAACACAUCUGUCUGAGUGUGAUAAUAUCAUCUUGUCCUUGGGAGCCCCUGACUACAGCGAACAUUGUUAGACCCGCGCUCUCCAGCAUCCUCCGCAGUCCCCUGACAGCAGCUGAACCAAACAAGGCAUCUGUGAGGCAGUGCAAGAAAGAAACAUCUCAUUGCAAAGUCUGGGCACAAGCAAACAAGGAAAUAGCUUGGCUGUGGUCGAACCUGAAAAUAAUGGAAAAAGCGCGCUUUCAAUUUAGCCAUUCCUGAGGUUUUUUCCCCUUUUUGAGGUAGUCAGGGAGGGAGAGGUAUAUACGGCCCCAGGCAAAGCAAGGUAGAUAGCUUGGAAGUCGACUGACAAAAUACCGCUGAAAAAUGGAAGCAAGCUAUAAAUAAACAAGCAGCAAUAUCCGGUGUUAUGAAUAUAUAAUUUCUGUCUUUAAUAACUAUUGAGGCCUGGGGGAUAGUCUACAAACGGCUCAGCGAGCACUGAUAUUGUGAUUGCAAAUAGAACUGCUGUUGAAUUAUUAAAGCACCUGCAGACUGUCAUCUCUCUGGUCAGGUGAUCAGCGCUGCUGUCCACCAACACCUGUUAGUGAGCCUGAGGUUCAAUUUGAAUCACAUUAUCUUUUUCUUUGAUUAAAUCAAGACAGUAACGACAAACAUGGUUGGACUGUGACAGAUUUAUUCAGAAAAUCACUCUGUUACCUUGAUUUUCAGUUGUAGAUGCAGGGUUAAAUCGCAGCCAAACCAGGUCUGCUUCAGUUUUCUGUAAUAUGAGGAUUUACUGAAGCUCCUCUUUGUCUGCAUGAGAUGCAACUUGUCUUCAGCUAACUGUAUUAAAAAGCCAUCUUAAGUGGUUAAAAUCCAAAGAGCAGCUGUUUCUAGUUUCAUAGAAGAAUAACAGGAGGAAAGUCAUCUCAGGUUGGCAGUCAGGGUCACAGCAUGGACCAAACAAUAGAAGACCAUCAGGGGACUUUAGAGUGAAUACUGCAUGAACAGGUAAGUUAAUGUUCAGUGUGUCUCAAACAAAGGAGAAUUCAAGGUUUUCAAAGACAGCAGUCCUGAAAGAUGUGAAGACUUUGUGGAACUGUAAAUCAUAUAAAGCUGCUGAGAAACUAUCAGAGGAACAAUAUAAAGCCCCCCAAAAUAAGCAUAAUACUCCCUCUUUACUUUGAAAGCUUUUAUUCUAGCACACAAAAAAUAGAGAUGUAAAAACUCAGACAUUACAUCAAUGCAUCACUUUCAACUCUCAUAAUCAGACCAUAUCAAGUCAAGUGUGGACGUAUUUUGGCAUCCUUGAUAAAUCAGAGAGUGUCUGCAGAGUGUGGAAAGGUGAAAUAAAGUACAGUGGCACCGUGAACAAUUUUUCCACUCACUUAUCAAAGGGGCAUGAAACGAGCAUCGACCACCAAGUUACUAGCGUCAUUCACAAGGCAGCAGGGCCAGAUGCACUGGAAAAGCCUUUGUCAUAACUGAUAAAUAACUCUGACACUUGGAUUACAUUCACUCAUUCAAUUCACACAUGCCAUUCUGUUCCAUCCUAUUCAGUUUGAUUGGAUUCACUUCAAUUCAAUUGAAUUCCAUUAAAUUUAAUAUAAAAACGGUUAUUUUCCCUGAAGGGUGAUGACAUAGCCAUAGAGGUAUAAAGGAGGACAACAAAAAUAGCAGCACUAAAGGAAAGUAUGGUUAAAAAACAUAAGGGGAAAAAAGAAAAUAACAGUGAGAAAAAAAAUACAGAACAGUUAGAGACUGCAUGUGUUCACUGAUUAGUAAGAACACCAGAAACAUGGCCUCAGGUAGAGAAAUAGUGUUUCUGAAGUUUUCAGUUUUCUGGAAACAUAAAGUGGUAAUUAGUCUGGGUGUUAAUCUUUAGUUUGAUAAGCAUACUCUUAGCAGAGCUUAGUUGUAUAACUUUUACAGAUGGGAUGGGGUGUGAAAUUAGUCUAUAAAGGGCCAGGUCAUUUCAUGCAAUGUUGCAUCUCUUGCAUAUUCAUCAUCAGAACUGAUCAUUACCCAGAAAUGUAAAUUUUUUGUGGGUAAUGGUUUGUUUUUUAAAGAGAGACAUUUUUAGCCAUUUCCUGUGUUACUUCCUGUGUAUUCCACAGUGAAACAACAAACACAGAUGACACUUAUAAUUUACUCUCUGACAGUCAUCAAUGAUUUUAAAAAUGCCUGACAAUCAGCUCAAACGUCUCUCACAGUACCAGUGUAUUAUGGUUUAAAGCACCAUCUGAAACUGAGAGAGCUGAAUGAGAGGAUUUACACUCUUUGAAUGUAAUGUGAUAUUGAUGAUAUACGAUGCUGAUUGUACUCGGAUAGAUGCCUUCUUGUCUUUUUAGAGGUGAGGCUGCAAUUUUUCACAUCACAGGCUGCUCAUCUCGUGGUUAUACUGUAAUGACUUUAUGGGACAUUUUUGUCUUUUUCCUGCCAUGACGAUGUAGAGUGGUUGCUCAAGUCUUUAUCCUUUAUUUUAUUUCUUUUUUUAACCUAAUCAGUCAAGUAGAAAAUGUGUUUAUUUUCAGUGACGUUUCAUUGAAUCCCUCUCAUAGUGGCUACAAGUAUGUGAUGGCCUUGAAUGACUGAAAAAGGAGGAUGCUGAGACUCACCAGCUAAACUUAAUUGUUUUUCACAGUUUGACAGAAUGAAGAUGGAAACACAGCUAUGCACAGGGUGCUUGCUUUAUUUCUAAUGGAGCCAAACACUUUGAAAUUAUCCUAUUAUACAGACCAGUGGCAGGCAAGCGACAACAUCAAACUCAGGUGCAUAUUCAGAGAAUUUUCAUUCGUUCUCUAGUCCCUUUUCACCAGCAGAAUGUUAAAUUGCUCUGAGUAUUCUUGAAUUCAUCAGGAGAAACUUCUGCUGCAUUUGAUGUAUAAAACGCCGUAAUGAAACAACCACAUUCGUUGCCUGGUGCAUUUAAAUUCUGCCCAACAUAAGCACAUCAAGUCCUGAGACACAGUAGAAAUGUUUUCUUUUAUGAUGAGAGUAAAUGGCAGACUAACAAAGCCAUAAAGAACCUGAUGGGAGGCAGCAGUCAUACAGACCCACCAUAGAGCAGUCCAUUGAUUCUCUUUGGUGCUGUAUUGAUCGGCUGUUUUUCCCUCCGCUGCAGCCUACUAAUCGUUGGCCUAUUAGCAAGAUGGGUUUAAGCUCUGCUUUAAAUCUCUGGCCAGUGUCGAGAUAUGAGUAGGUGCUUAGGCUGUGAGGACUGAUUAUUGCUAGUUUGGGAGGAUGCUGCUGAUGACUUCCAACUCUCUUCUUUCUGUUUUGAAUGUGCAUCUUGAGAAGGCGUAAGCUGUAAUUUACUCCAAAGCCUCUACUGUAAUAGAGUGCCAAAGAACUAGGAAGAGAUUUCAUUGAAGAGCAUGGUAGUCUGCAAGCAUGUGUCUUUCCUGGGUCUCACUCAUUGACUAUACCUAGAAACGGAUGACACACCUUGUUCCCCUCUUGAAACCAAUGAAGCCAAAAUAUGGUUGUAGAGAAUGUAAACAUGUUGUUAGAGGGUAAUCUGAUUGGCAAACUUGGCCUUAGCCGACAACCAUUAAACCUUGUUUUCAAUCAGUUAUGCUGAUGGAAACGAGUCAUCUGAAAGUCCAUCCAUCCUGAUUUCAGUCUCCCUGAAAAUCAAAUUUGUGUUGCUGACUUAUGCUGCAUUCCAGUUACCUCCGAAGUUGGAUGUCGGAGCUAGGAAUGAAGCUACACACGAGUCGACGGCGUACCAGUCAACAAGUCGGAAAACCAAGAUGGACGCCUACAGUUACCCGUUGUCAGUUGUUGUAAGCAGUUGUCAAUUGUUGUUAGCUGUUGUUAGCGAUAUCAGUUGUAAAUGACUCACAACACAGUAUUGUACUCUAAAAACAAAACAAAACAAAAAACAGAAGUGCGAAUAAAUAGUACAUUAAGAAAGCUUUUAUUGUUACUCUUUACUGUUGAUGCACUGCGCUGCCAUCUCAACGUCGGCAAGUCAGGGUUGGCAAGGAUCGUCCGACUUUCUGAGUCAGAAAUCCGAUUUCAGGGGGGCAUUCCAGAUGAAUUUCUGACUCGGAGCUCGGAAAUCCCAACUUUCAAGUACAACUGGAAUACAGCAUCAUACCACAAGAAGGUAGAACUCAAAGAAUGUAAAGAAAACAUAGGCCAAAGACUCAGGCAAGCACUUGGCAACACUGAUGACUACUCGUGAAUCACCCCAAUGCCCUCAAUCAAAGUAAAAUAAUCCUUCGACUUGUCCUUUAAAUGCUAGUUUUGUCCCCCAUCUUUCCUCAGUAAUGAUUUGUCAUCCAUUGUGAUGUUUGACCUUUGAGAUCUGUAUAUGCUAAGUUGAUACAAUCGUCUGUAGGAUGCGGUAAAGGUCAUCACACAUUGAGAACAACCUUUAACUGCUGUAGACUGUAUAUUAGUUAAGAUUAAAUUUCCAUACUUCAGGAUCAAAAAUCAGAAGAUCCCGUUGUUUUUGAGUUCAGACUUCCAUGAAUAAAGUCUUAGCAUGGUUAAGUUUCUUAGCUAUAGCUUCUGUAAGUCCAAGAUUCAUUUAAAAUGUGUUAUUUUACUUUGAGAACCUAUCCACUUUAAUUCUUUUGACAUUGAAUAAAUGAUUAAAAGUGGCAAAAAUUUCCAUUUACGAGAGAACUCUUCAACAAAGAACCAUUAACACGCGGCUGCUUUCAUCGCCUCGCUUCAAUUCACACUGGGUCAUUUCUUGUAAUGAAUUGCCAAAUUAUCAGGAGUGUUUUCUUGUCAAAUAGGAAACAGUAAUGAUGAUGACAAAAGAACAACAAAAGCAUAAGACAAGUUGUAUCUUGCCCUGCAGCCAACAGCAGAGCAGUUUUCCUCCCUCUUCACACACACACACACACAGACACACUCCUCAAGCUGAUAAUCAGGCAUUUAUUCCAUAAACAAUGCUGGAACUGACUUGGGAUUUGCCUAACAAUGUCUCAUUACUAGUGUAUGAGCUCCUUUUUUUUCCUUGAGAUAAUGCAAUUCGUCAAGGAGAGCAGAUGAGGGAGAGGGGAGAGAGUGUGAGAGAACGAGGGGCGGGGGUGGAGCGAGGGGAGGAGGACAAAAACACUUAUUAAUUUGCACGAAAUGGAAUUAGCAGCGGGGAGUUAGAAGCGGCAGAGUUUCUAAUUUUACCCUUGCCCCCGUGCGCCGAUGGUAAAUGGAGAUUUGUCACACUCCACUUGGCUGGCUCCCCAGCUUGAUGAGCUGUCUCUCUUGCAGAAACUCUGUUCAAUCUGUAGCAUUAGCCACAAUGCCAGCGCUCACAUCACUGCCACAGCCCCACAGAGUCGUGUGAGAGGGGGUGGAGGUGUCAUCAGGCGCCACAUUUUACUGGCGACACUGAAUACGAGGGAGGAUGUGAGAGGCAAGGGAUACAGCUUAUAAACUCAUAGUUCCCUUUUUAAGAACUAGAGGAUGGAUAGACUGCUGGAUGGAUAGAUAGUUGCAUGGAUACGUGUAAUGUACGUAUGUCCACAAAUAGAUCAGUAAGCUGAAAGGCUGCGAGACGUCCUUAAUAUAAGCACUUAUAAUAGACUGUCAGCACGUUGAACUGCAUCACACCUUACACACAACAUGUAUAGCUCAGUAAUUACACAGCAGUGCUGUAGGGACUGAGAGCCCAUAUAGACAUUUAAAAAUAAGAUGCUGUCUGAAUGUCAAAACAAACCUUGAGCAUGAUGAACAGGUAGUUUUAUAAAUUAAAACUCCUUCAGGGGAGACUAGACCUCCAUGUGAAACAAGAUGAGCAGAACUGCAAGAAUGUAAAUGUUGACUUUUGACUUCAUUUAGCUCUCCAUCUCAGAGCUGUGCAGUCGACUCACCUUAAGAAAUAAAUGAGGCAAAAAUCACAUCUUUAAAACUGCUUUUAUUAUCACUUCCACUUGGGGCGGCAGUAGCUCAGGAAGUAGUUUCCGCCAGUCUGCCUCAAGGUGGGACUGUGUGAGGUAAUGAAUGAUGUAUCCAAUAUAAAGCACUUUGAGGGUCUCUGAUAUCGCGCUAUAUGAAAUCUGAUGCAUUAUUAUUAUAAUUAUUUAUUCCUCUGGAUUUCAGGACAUAAUCCAGUAUUGAAAUAUCCAUGUUAUAGUUUUGCCUCUUAAACCUGAGGCAUAAUGUGCCAGGACUUUUUUAUGCUGACUGAUUUGAUGUGAGAUGUAUAAUCUGUUUUUGGUCUUACUAUACCGAGUGAAUAACUUUUGUCAAGAAGGUUUGACCAAUCAGAAUCAAAAUUAAGUAUUUCACACAGCCGGAUGAUUAGUUAGAAAUAAAGAGUUGGGUGGAUGAUAAUAAAGAGGGUUCAAAGCAACAUGACAUUUGUGAUGUGCACAAGAAAGAGUUAGCAUUCUUACUCUGUUCGGAUUAUUUUACAUGCCAAAUAGUGAGAUAAGGAAAUAUCUUUUCCUUAUUAAACAGAACAGGGAGAUAAAUCCCCAGAUCCUGCAGCUUCCAAAUACUCUUUUUAAAUGUACUGACCAAAUGGUUUGAGAGUGGGUGAGGUUGUCUGAAGCUUAUCGCCAAAAAGAAGAGUAUGUACACAGAGCAGCCAUAGCAAGCUAAUGCAACCCAGUACAUCAGCUCCACAACAAAUUCUCCUUUUUAAAAGGCUUUUAGGUUUUGGAUUUUGUUGACAUGGUCAGAGAAUUGCUCUUUAAAUUAAUCGUCAAGGCUGUAUUGGGUGUUGGUGGCGUUGCAGAGUGCAUCAAAUUUAAAAGGGUUUUAAUAUUUUGGACAAAAUGUAAAGAACACUUCUUCGCAUAACACACUCCAGGCCACCACCACCACUCACUAAGUCUUCGAUAAUUCGUAUGAAGUAUGAUUGUCAUCUGUCUGCUGAAGUUUAAAAAAUGAAAACCUAGAAAGCAGAGACUGUGGUGGAGCUGUUGUAUUGAAUUUCAUUAGAUUGCCCAGCUGUUCACAGUGUUACAGCUGGUUGGUCUACACACUUUAAUCAUGGCCAAACAUUGGUUUCACAAAUCCAGAAAAUACCACAAAGUAAAUGACUCAUCUAAUGCAAGACUUUUAAAAUAGUGCUUAUGUAAGCACCAGAAAUGCAACCCAUCCUAAGUAAAAUACCGAAGUAAAGUUUAUAAGUAAGUCUUUGUUUUUAUACCCUUUAAACCCCUGCGAUGUGAGUGACUUGACCCACAAUAUGAGCUUCUUUUGUUGUAAACAUUUCACCCUGAAAGGUUCAUUUAAGCGCAAGAAAAAUAAUUUGAUUGAAAGAAAAAACUGUGUGGCUUGAUAGAUGUGUGUUGUAAAGUGAAAUAAACUGAUUUACAUAAAAUAACUGGGACAUCAGGGUUUUCUUUUUGCUGUAUUGCCCUGUUGUUUUGGAAGCAUGGGUAGAUAGACAGAUGGAUAGAUAGAUAUUCAUAGGCACAUGGCCAAAUUCCAAUAAUGCAAUCUGCUGGCUCCCACAGUGCAGCCAGCAUGAUAAACAACAUGCUGUUAAAUAGGAGCAUGGAUCAAUACCAUAGACACACAAACGCACAGCGCACAACACACGCUCAUACACAUUCAGUCCCCUGGUGAGAUCAUCCAGAAGAAAAAUAACCUACUAACCCUUCGCCCACCCUGCAGCUCGUCGUUGUGGGACUGUUUCCCUCACAGUUCAGAGUGCACAGCUAGUGAUAAACACAAACUGAGGUAUCAGUGGUUAUCCUGCAUGUUCAGCUCCUUUCGUACACCAAAUAACAACUGCUGAAUGAUCCCACCUCCCCUCCUGCCCCCAACAUGGAUCAAUAUACCUGUGAUGAUGAGAUCAACUGUACGCAGUAUGAGGUGCUGUGUGGGGGCUUGUAUUACCUCCAAAAUCCUUAGUGUAGGUCUAGUCAAUGUGCAUGGAAAAUGUCAGUAUCUACAUUGCAAUUUAAUUUUUCAUUUUUAAAAUGUACUAUAAAAGAAGAGAACAAAUAACACAUACAUGAUGAGGGGUUAAAAAUUUAUGGAUAUUUAAGACAAAGAAAAGAAAUUUAACUUUCUCCUAAAAAAUGACACUCCAAAGGCAGCUACAUUAAAAAAUAUAUUAAAUAGAUAAACACAAAUCCGUGUUAUCUUAUACUUAAAACAACUGGAGGACUUUAUUAAAAAAAAAUGUAAAUACUACCUGCCACAAAGACAUUAUACCCCUCUUGUGGGCCAAAAGUACUUUCUAUGUUUCAGAUGUGAAUUCUUAGUUGUGCUCAGCAUGUAAUAUUUAAUUGUAUCUGUGGUAAAGGUUAACUUGGUGUCUUUCUUUCGAUGAGCUAACUAAGUAACUAUCACUCACGUUGGGCGGAGUAUUUACGCUGACGGUGAAGUUAAAGAAGAUGAACAGGUCGGCGUGGAUCAGAGUUGCACCCCAGAAAGUUUCUCUGUCAUGUCAUUUUCAGACCCUGUGACCUUUUUUUCCACUUAUCUGACUGUAUUAUGGUCUGAAAGGUCACUGGGUUCAGUUUGGAGCUAACAUCUUCAAUUUUGUAGAUUUCUCGGUUGUAAGGCACAGAAGGUGAAUUUAUGUUUCGUACAUUUCAUACAUUAAAAGAAACUCAAUGUGCUUAACACAAAUUUAAAAAAAUAUCUCAAAGAAGAUUAAAUAAACAUAAAACAAUUGAAUGUAGAUGAAACGCAGAGUGCAUAAAUUUCAAGUUAAAGGGUAAAAAUAAUUGCCGUUUUUCUCAGCUUUUUUAGUUUCUUUUCUUGUUUCCCCCUCUGAAUAAAAUCAAUUGAACCUCUUUUUGUACAUUGAUAUGAUAACAGUCAGUCCACAGGUAUGUGAGAUGACAGCCUCAUUCCUGGCUGAGGUCUGUUCUUCAUAGCAACAGUCUGUUAUUAAAAAAUAGCUGACCGUUGCACUGAAACAUUGCUGUGCAAUGACCAAUCAGACUCAAGCAGCUGCUGUUACUGGUGUAAAGCAUAGACUGUAUAUAGAAUGGACGCGGUCUGCCUCCUCGCUGGGUGAAGCCACUCCAAGAACAGCACCCUCUGCUGACGGGCUGCAGUAUAGGUCAUAAAUCCCGCCUCCACUAGCUAAGCUUAUGGAGCUGUGGACAAACUUUAGAAAUAUAUUACAUAGAAUGUUAAUUUUUCUUCCCCCUGGUUGCGAUGUUGACAUGUAAUUACUGUAAGAUUAGUUUGUGCUCAAGUCCUCUUUUUUCUGUGAAGCUCAGUUUUAAAAAUUAUUAGGGGGUUCAUGUUUUCUAUGAUUGACACCUGAUGCAGCCUAUGGGCAUUCAGGGAUUGCGUAGCUCACCCAGGGGAGCUGAGUGUCAUCACAACGACUCUCAGCGACUCUCCCGCCGAAUGCAUACAACACUACUGCGCAAUGCUGGUUUCAGGAAAAGAAGAAAAAUCCCGGAAAUACAGAGAGAUUUUUGGCUUCAAAUCCGUACACAGGUGGGAGGCGAAACCAAGUAGUCCAUGGUAUGUGCAGUCUAUGGUGUAAAGUCUGUUUUUUCACCUGAGUGUGCUUAGAAAUAUUAAGCUCUUUGUUAUAACAAUUCUAUGCAUCUACAGUGCCUUUGCCAAGAAAGAAAAUAGGAGAUGGGGGAGGUGGAGGAGGGUGGUGCUGGGAUGUGGUGGUGGUGGUGGUGGUGGGGUUCACAGUGUCAAACAGCGCUUUAAUUGGAAGCAUCAAACGCACAGAGAGGGAGGGAGAGUGUUUAUCUUCUGAAUGUAUUCCUCAUUCUGCAUGGAGAUGGUUUGUUUAUCCGUUUGCCUAAGUUCCUCAAAGCCCGGGUCAGGUCAGUCUGUCUGCAAGGCCAUAGACAUCCCUCACUGAUUAAAAGGAAGCAACUGUGGCACACACACACACACACACACACACACACACACUCGCCUGCAGCUCCCGCCUGGCGAUAAGGAUCCCAAUGUGUCUGACAGCGAGGAUGACUGCAGAGUGUGAGGGAAUUAGAGGGAUUAGGGGGUUAUAGAGUAGCGUGAUAGCCUCUGGGAUGACGGAGGGAUUAGCCCGAUUAUCUCUCUCUCUUUCCCCUGCUCUCUCUUCUCUCUCCCUCUCUCUCUUAGUCAGGCAGGCCUUGUCUGGUGCUGAAAGCUGCCAGAUGUGGCACCUACAGAUAGAGAGGAAAGGAGAAAACAACCUGAGGGAAGGAGGGUAGAGGGAAAUUGGGGGUUGGAAGAAAAUUGGGGGAACGGGAGAGGUACAGUGAAGGGAGAGGAGGAGAAGUGGGAUGGUUAACAGUAGGGAAAUAUUUAAAGAUAGCCACUAAAAAGGGGGAAAAUAGAAGAUCAGGGAGGAAAUUGCGUGGGGAGUGACAGACAAGGUAAUGAUAGUGGAAGAAAAUAGAGGAAAGGGGGACGAGAUCAGAGGCAGAACCCUCAGCUUGGCUUGGCUUCACUCUCAUUGCCUUCAGUGCACACUGACUCCAUGCUCGGCUUAAUAUGGGAUUUCAUCAAGGUGGUGCUUAGAGCAGCUUUACAUUUUAAUUUGCUGAUUUUCUUGGCAGUUUCACUCCAUACUGGAGGCUGUAUACAGUAUAGCAUCAACUGUUUGUGCACUUCUAAUCAGCAGCAAUAUGAUUCUGGGCCAUGCUUUGUGCUACUGUCAACAUAUUGUCAACUGCUCUGCAGAUAGUCUCUGUUUGUGACAUUCAUGUGCAAAGCAACUAAAUCUCCCAUGACUGCUCGUUGUUCACAUUCAGGACCAAAAUCAGUGUGAAAUAAGCAGAACAUUUAGGGGAUGAUAUUUUCCGAAAGUAUCAUGAGGCACAGGUUUUGUUUACAAUGAUUGAAUUGUCAUUGCACAUUAGAUCUAAUGUUUCCAAUCAAAGACGUGAAGUAUUUAUAGAUAUUUUGAUUCAAAGUGUGAAACCCUGAUGUAAAUCAGAUCCGUUCAAUGUUGUCUACCGGGAAAGACGUUUCUGUGGAACAACCACAGAGAGCUGUGAAACUGUUUUUAUCUGUAGAGUGAGCCGUCAUAUGUGCCGUGUGUGUGUGCGUGUGUGUGUGUGUGUGUGUGUGUGUGUGUGUGUGUGUGUGUGUGUGUGUGUGCGUGUGUGUGUGUGUGUGUGUGUGUGUGUGUGUGUUCUGCAGGGUAAUUUUCUGAGUUGGCCAAUUUGGUGUGGGCUGAGUGUGAAAGCGUUGUAUUGUUAAAGAUACGGUAUGCCGGUCACAAGAGCGUCACUGAACUGAGCAGAACUAAUGACUGACAGUUUUGUACUCAAGACGGGGUCGGCAAUUAAGUUUAUGUGAACCACAAGUUGUAAGUAGUACAAACACUAUUCGUUUCUGUGCUGUCUGUCUACACACAUUUGCACCCUCUUAUAAAACAUGUAUCCUGACUUGACUUACCGUUCUUCCAUGUUAGUAAAUCUAUGUGAAAAGCUGUGUAUGAGUGAAAAUGAGAGACUGUGUCAGUGCUGUUCCAUUGUUGGAAUAAAACAAAUGACAGGCUUUGUCACCGUUGGUUUCCACUGCACUUACCUGUUGAGUGUCAGUUCCUGGAACUGAUCUUCCUUAUUGUUCAAAGGGUAAUACCAGCAGCCACUUACUUUGGUACUUUCAGAGGUUUCUAAGAGUGCUGUCAUUUGUGUUUGAAGUAUAACAAGCAUAGUGGACUGUCUGAAUUUUCCCACACAGCACAUACUGUAUGUAUAGACAGAAGCCUCUGUUUAGAGCUACAGGGCUGUAUGUGUUAUAAUGCUUAGGGCAAUAAUUUUUCACCCAAACUUGAUCCAGACUUUCCGCUGAUCGUCCCCUUGUCUGCAGUGGGCUGCAGCGUGAAAGCAGUAGGUAAACAUCUACUGUGAGUGAGUGGGCAGGGUGAUGUUGUUCAGGUUGAGUGGAUUUCCUCUGCUUUGUACUCUUCACCUCGGGUGUGCAUUUUUAUAGUUGACCACAGAUGAUUAAUUGCGUCCACCUUGCUUGUGAGGACCAGAAUUAUUAGUUGGUCAGAUGAGUUAUUGAUAUAAGCGUCUCAUUGCAUUGUGUAGUUUGGCAGCAUCCAGGAAAUGGAGGUAAACUCAUAUAUUAUCUGGUUUUAUGCACUAAAGAAUUUAAAAUUUCAAUCAUACUUCUGUACUUUUUGUUAUCGGAUCUUUAAGCAAACUGUCUGUUCUCAAGUCGAACCCCAGUCUCCAUCCGAACAAGUCUUAAAGUCUCUUGUUAAUCCAGUGUUUGCCGUCAGCAGCAGUGCCGCAUGCCUGUUUAUGUUUUCUAGUCAUGUGACCUGCAGACACAGACUCUGCAUGCACUGCUGUCAGUUCUCUGUGUGUUCAGACUGAGGGCUGGAUGAUUUAUAUAUUUUGUUGUUUUUUUUAUGGAGAACAAGAAACUGGUGAUGUGGUUCAGGUCACGUGGCUGGCAUCACACAUCUCAUGGUGUGACAAUUGUGUACGCAAACAUUGCAGUGGUUAAAUAAAAUAUCGUACAGCCCAACAAGCCACCCAAUCCUGAAAACAAGAACCCCAAUCCAAAAUGAAGUGUUUUGAGCUAUCAGCGCAUGUUCAGAAAAGAUAACCACCAGCUGUGAGAUAAACUGCAAAAUCCUGAAUAAAUCAGGGCUGGGCCUUUUGAUCUAUUGUGACAUUAUCAAAGAAAUGUCAUAGUACAUCUGUAAAACGGGCUGAACCCUCCAGAUUCAGAUUAAACUUGACAGAAUCAAAGCUUUUAUUGUGUGUUAGAGUCUUGGUUUUGGGCUAAUAGCUUGGGUAAGUAGGUGUUUUGUUGUGUUACUCUGGAAGCAAUAAUUUUUUAGAUCCAUCACCCACGUGUGCUCCAAGAUUUGGCCUCAUCAGUCACAUCAUGUUCUUUGAGAUUUUUCACACCCUAAUGGGACCCUUAUCCAUCAGGCUUGACUAACAGCAGUUAAUUGAACAUGAAUAAUGAAUAACAAGCGUUUGAUGUCCUACUUUCACAGUACUUUCUGGAAAUAAGCUAACGGACAGAUCUUUUUCCUGUUUAAGUUUGCGCAGUAUACAUGAAGUCAUAUGAUAAAUGUUUAGGCGUGUUAACACUGAUGAAAUUAUAGUAGCAAAUUUCUUUAAUACUUUGAGUGCAGCUUUUGCCCCUGGUGAUUUAUAAAGACAGACAAAUGUUCGUUCAGUUAUUACGAGCAUGUGGCAACAGGAGCAAAUAAAUGGACAUUGAAUGCUUUGUUUUGUUCUGCAAAAAAAAAGGCCUCAGGCUGACUCAAACUAGCUCAAAACUCAACAGAAGAUUGUGGAAAAAAAUAAAAGUUCUGUUAUACUCAACCUUUAACAACUUUUCUCUGUUUCAUACGGCUUCAGGCUGUUUGUUUAUCAAAUAGUAGUAGAGUAUAGAUUUGUGGAACAACCCUGUUAACCUCCAAAGAAGCAAAGAGAAGGAAUAAAGUCUGAGAGGAGUCAAAACUACAGCAGUCAUCACAGCUUCAGCUUUCUGAAAAGUUUUUACUUCUUAGUUUUUUGUCUUUUUUUUUUUGGAGAUUAUCAUGAACAUCCUAAAAAUGUGCAGUUCUACUUUACAUAUUUCUGAAAGUCAGACAUUUUGUUUCUCUGAACUCCGAUAUUGCAGUAAAACACACAGCUAGAAACUGUUGGGACUAUUUUUAUGGCCCUGUUGUUGGUUUUUUUUUUUUUUUCGUUUUUUUUUGUUCUCUGCUCGUCUGUUGUCUCACCACCUCAGCAGUGGCUUACAUGGCCUAAAUCUGCUGACAGGGAAACUGAACCGUUAUAUCUUAUACUAAAGCCCACAAACCCAAAAGCCACAAGUAGCAGCCUCUCUAAACCCCAGCUCUCCGCCUCCUGCUGCACUAAAACCAUUUAUGCUUCAAACACACACACAUACACACACACACACACACGCACACAGCUACUGGAGUAAUUUUGAAGAACAGUCUACUCUUUACACUUAUCUUUCAAAGUAUUUUCACAGUUUUUGGGUAAAUGUUAACCGAAGUGUUUGCUGUAUCUCUCUAUUAGUUUCUCAUUGUUUUUAAGAGCUUGUUUCGGAGCGGAUGUCUGACGUAGGAACUGUAACACCACAUGUAGUUGUGGGUUACUGUAUUCUCUGGUGGCUCACAUCUACACAGGAUGUGCCGACAAAGCUGCUUGAAGGUUUUUUUGUAGUGAAGUGGAUAGAUUGUUUCCGUGCAGUUUGUUAGUGCGUGUGUGUGUGUGUGUGUGUGUGUGUGUGUGUGUGUGUGGUAGUGUGAGAGAGAGAGAGAGAGAGCAAGUGUUUCUCUGCGUUGUAAACAAGAUUUGCUUCUGCCCUCAAACCAUGGCCGACAUAGGGCUCCUGUUUGUGUGUGAGACGGCUACACACUUUUUUUUUUUUUUUUUUAUUUCCACGGGUUAUUGGGUAUGGUGGGUUGUCAUGGCAACUGGUGAGACGUUCACAAUGAUUCUUUUCCUCUUUCUUCUCAAUAAAGAGAGAAGCAGGAUGCAAAUGGACUCCCCCCACCAGCCAAACUGAAUCAAGAUGAACAUAUCUGGAACUAGUUGCAGAUGGGCGGGAAAAAAAAAGUAGAAGGCUUGUUUUUGCUUCCAAACAGACUUCUUACACACAAACUUAAUGAGCAAAACCUGCAUACAAACACAUCAGCUGGUUUUCUGUUAGUCUGUGUGUAGUUAUUAGGUUGGAAAUUCUUGACAACCAAAGUACAAAAACAUCCGGAGCAACCACAAAUCACUUUUCCUGCGAGACCAUACGUUUCCAUUUUUAUUCUCAUGAAUCAUUCACUUUUUAAAAUAAACUUUCCAUCUUGGAUUACAAAGUCGACAGUCACGAUCACACAAGAGCAGACAGAGAGAGCAACACGUUUCUCAUCUCAUGGUCUGAUUCCACAUGGUUUAUUCUUUCUACAUGAACACGUUUCUCAAAUGUGCGUGUUUGCCCUCCUUUGACCUAAACUGAACUUAUCCGUUAUCAGUGAAUGUGCAUUGCUGUCAGACUUGUCAGAGGUUAUCUUGCUGAUAAGUCAGAGUGGAGGCAGAUGAGUUUGGUCUGAUCUUCCUGCUGCUAAGUGCAGCAGUUUAUCAGCGUGCAAAGUGUCAGAAUGCUUUCACACUUACACACACUCUUAGAGGAACAUACAAAUUGGUUCACACACUGCUUAAAUCUUUCAUAUCUGCCAUGUUUCUGCGUGUGUGUGUGCAUGUGUGUGUGUGAGAGAGAGAGGAGGCUUGUCUGCAUGUGGUCACUGAUGUGUGCAGACAGCAGACGUGCUCUUCUUGUCUGGCUGACGUGGUUGGAAGCCGCUGACAACCACUCAACAGAGCUGCAAGUAAAAAGCUACAAAACAACAUGAAGGAUGAGCAGAAACACUCAGCAUAUUAUGACCACCGCAUAAUGAGAACUUGACACUGUUGAUGUGACACUGAGGUUUUUUAGGAGACCAAAAUUAAGACAAACUAAUCGCUGUGUUUUUUCUCAGAAUGCGUUGCAAAACACAACAGAGUCAGUUAGGUCUGUGAUUGACAAUGUCGAAAUAAAACAUUUAAAUCCAACAAUUUGUUUCAAAUCAGUAAAGGAAAACCUAAUUCACUUACAAUAUACUGUGUAAUACUUCAAAUGGGCAAUACUGAUCAUAACAGAGCAGGUCAGCUGAUGGUCGAUAUAUGAUGCCAAUAUCACACUAUUGUUAUUUUGCAUCUCAUUUUAACACUUACAGAAGUCAGUAUUUCAUGCACAUUACAAUCCAGUCUAUGUGUUUCAAAAGGAUUUUGAACCUUUCCAUAAAAUACAAAAAUACAUGGGGCUAUCACAGAUUUUAAAAAAUGUCAUAUUUAUGUCAGGAAUAAUAGUAAACCUGUAAUUUUUACAUGAAAACAAUAUUUAUCAAAUAAUAAUUAGAUUUGAUCUGCUGUCAUUUAGGGAAGGAAAAUAUGUUCUCAUCUUUGAGGACCACAACCACGUGGACUGGCUUCCUGCAGGGUCUUACAAACCUUAUUCAUUUAUUUUCUUUAUACUGAUUCAACUAAGUUUCUUACAAAUAUAACACUUGGGCAUAAAUAAGCAUGGGAAUAACAAAAACUGCUUUGACACUAAUAGUGAUAGAUGCUUUUUUUUUAUUUUGAUGUGUGUUUUUUUAUUUUUUAGUCUGUUCCCUCAUUGUAUAAGUGGUACAGAUGCUGGCUGGCUGGAUGGGGUUAGAAAACAGUUUGUCCUCAUUGUCUAAAAAGUUAGAUAAGUGAUAAACCAAACUAAAAUAAAAGUUUCCAUCCAUCACAUUUUCUGUUAGCUGAAUCAUAUUUACAGCUCGACAGUCAAUUCGGAUCUUUUUGCAAAAAUUCAAACACUUAGGAUUAAAAAAAACAACACUGACACCUGAAGAGGAAGUCAGACAAGUGAGAGAAAGGUCUGCAGAAAAUAGGCUACCUCUACACUAUUGCAUAACUGUGACCUACAAUGCACCGCAGCCAAGACGAAGAACAAAGGUGGGAUGGAAACAGUUUAAGCGAGUGCACACACUCACACAUGUAUGUGGGUGCGUAAAUGAGCAUCGAUGUGUGAGAUGACACACCGUAUUUCAAAUGUGUAAAAUAGAGCAGAGGAGGUGUUUGUGAACAAGUGUUGAAAAGUACACACCUGCAACUUUAAGAUGUGUUGGAUUCCGUCUCCGUGCAAGCGUAGAUAGCACAUUGUUUUUGCUGCGCUGCUCGCCCACAAACCUGCUAUGACAAUCUGAUGGCUAGGUUGUCAACAUCAAUACAUUAGAGGGAUUGUUCAUCAUAUUGUUUUGUGAUCAAGAUGGAUUACUCUUCAUCAGGAGCUCACAGGGGUUCAGGUCUGCUGAUAUGAAAUCAAAUCGGUGUGUUUGAUGGAAUAGUGAGGCGGGAGGAUUUCAGAUUGAGAUCUUUGUGCCUUAUUGAAUUUCUCAGAGGUGAAUCAAAUUACGCUUUUGGCUCUGAAAAGAAUCGGUGGUCUUUUGCCUCCUCGUUUCUGUCUUUGUGUUAUUUGUCUUGUAAAUGCAGAAAAGCGUUUCUCCAGCUCUUUGGCAACAUUAAUAUCUAUAGCAGAGCCUGAAAGCGAGUCUGCUCAUCUGCUGCACGUUCCUGAAAAAACACCCUUACAUUUGGACUUCCCCUCUUUGUGCAUGGAUUCCUUUCACUUAUCCCUAACUUCUGAGCACAUUGAGGCUGUGCAGCACGGAGAAACGAGAGCAAAUUGGGCCUUAAAUCUAAACAUGUGACAUCAGCAGACAAAAUGGCCGUGCUGACAGGCCCUGGACCACCCACAAGCAUUGUGGCUUCCCUCUAACUGAAUGUGGACUGAAUUAGAUGUUGCCUCAAACCGUUCCCCCAGAGCUUUUAUUAACCACACUCCAACCAAAUGCAUCUGCGGCCUGUUUUGACUUCUGCUUUCGACUAUCGAGCGUGUGUUUCUAAUAUUGAGGAAGUUGUGCUCGAACUUCGGGUUUCUUUUAGAGACGGUGAAAAACACAUUGUGUGCUUUAAGUCACAGACGGUGGGUGUUUGAAAGUGUGUGGGAGACGUGAGGUUCACAUUUGAGACUGUUUAGGGUGGAGUUGUGUGACACAUACGGUAUUACCACAUGGAGGCAGUUCUGCAUUCACACAACUUGAUAUUACCAAAGUGUGUGUGAGUGAGAUGUGAGAUUAAGGUGUUAGAGUCAACUGGCCAAAGCGUCGUGUGUUUGUGUGUGUACUUGUGUUAUGCAAAAACACACAUGAUAACUGAUAUAGGGAGGUCAUGUGUCUGUGCUUCCAUUUUUUGACAUUGACACCUGUUUUAAACUCACACUUCUCAGACACACACACCAACACACAUGCAUUCAAAUCUGCCUCGUGACCAAGUUUGCAUGGGAUUAUUUUUAGCACUAAUGUUUGUUGACAAACACGCACAACAAAAGCGGAUAUUAUACAAUAAAGUGAACAUGCUCGCCAGUUUGUUUGCUCCUGAGCAUGUAGAACACACACAUAUACGCACACACACACACACACACACACACACACUUUGUAGUGGAAAAUUACUGGGCUCCAUGCACGUCUGUAUGGUUUUGGAUCCGUGGAGAGAGGGAAUGGGCUAUUAUGGUGUCCUGCUGGACUGGACCAGAGCAGACCAAAGCUGCGGUGAGGCUUGAAAGAGGGUUAGAGCGGGGUGUCAUUAGGCUCAAGGCCAGAGACCUCCGUUUACACUCUGACUACAGUCUCUGUGCUCUUAUGGAGCCACACAGCAGGUAGUUUUUCGACUUUUAGGAGCUGCUCGUCACCCCAGCCCACAGAGGUUAAAGGUUGCAGUGGUAAAAAGCGUUAAGAUGAGGUGAACCACAUGUGAAGACAUCACAUUUUGAAGUUUUAAAUAGUAACAUUAAAGUUGUGGGCGCGAGCCCUGUGGGAGUCUGCUGAAUAAUUGAAGAUACUGUUGGGUCAUGUUGUGUCGACAUGUAUAAAUAUUUAAGGCCCAAGUUAAUUUUAGGGGAAGUUACAGAAAUGCUCCUUUUUAUUUAAGCUAGAUGGAGGGGUGUGUCUGUGUUUAGUUUGAUUGACAGGUGCUGCCAGGGGAACUAAAAUAAAGGAUCUCAACUUCACCCCCCUGUCAUACUCCUGUUUUUGGAGAGCCCCCAGCUGCACAGUUACACUUAAUAAUGGCCAACAGUGGAGGGAUUUGAAAGCUCAACCCAGACAAAAAAUACAACACUCAGAGUCAUAUUUUUCCAACUUUUACAUCUGCUUCUUCUGACUUCUUUUGUUGCAACAGUCAGUCACAUAAUUCAUGGCUUAUAUGUCAAGAUGUUCCAACUCAUUUUGGCUUUGCUGCUUGAUUAUUCACAAAGAUAUAGGCUUCCUUACCGGCACUGGUUGUCAUAGUCAGUGUCACAUCAGGCCUUUGACCUGCAGGUAAGUAAACAUGCUAUGUUAAACAAUGAUAUCAACAGUGACCUGUCCAUAGACUUAUGUUCAUUUUGGGUUUUAUUCAAAAAGUCAAAAGUAUUUUGAUGUUUGUAUCUUAAAUGUGAGAAAAUUGGCUUCCAAAAAGAAAGAAAUUAACUCCAGUAGGACUUUGCAGGAAAGCCAUGGGUUGUUCAAGGUCAACAGACUUUGUGUUAUGUGGCUGCGGUCUGAAUCUGGAAAAAUGCUCUGAACUUUGGAAAAAACAUAUUUUCCUGUCAGGUUGGUGAAGUCUUUGGCUCUAAAGACCACAGUGACCAUUAACCACAGCAACAAUUGCUGUGGCAAAAAUGGCAGCCAGGAGCAUAACCCACAGCUGAACAGACUUCCCUAAAAACAACUUUUUCUCUCUGUGACUCUAUGGCUGACCUCAUGAUCAGAGCUGAUAGCAGAUCAGAUCAAUAACAUUUUAGACUCUUUGGACCCGGAAACUCUGGUAAAAACAUGUGCAAAGGUACAUCGAUAUCAGCAUCUCUUUAGAAAGUAUUAGAUUUUAUUAUUUUGGGGAAAUGUUUGAAACUUCUGCAUUUAUACAUCUUUUAUAAGCAGGGUAUAAUGGCAGUUCGGACUCGCAGACAAAAAAAUCAAUGAAAAGAUGAGCUGCCAACAUAUUGAAUUACUGAUAAAUUGAUGGUUACAUCAUCUCAUCUGUUUUUACACUGAGCCACCGUGGCAUCUUUCAUUCUUACUGUCACUGCUGAGUGUCGUUCAUGAAAAACAGCAAUCAGGAAUCGUCAGGGAGAUGAAGAUAUCCAAAUGGUGACAGCUGAUGCCACACUACUGCAAUGAUAAAACUUCUCAAAUUUGGGAGCAUUUCACCUUCAGUGCUGCAAAUAAAAAGAUUGUCUGCCACAUUUAUCGAGUGGACCUUAAUUAUUAUGUGAGCAAUGAACAAGUGUUUGGAAAGACGGCACACUGGAUGUCUCUCUUAAACAUGACAGUGACGUUAACCUAACAGUCUGAAGAUACAGACACACUGUGAUGUUUACAUGAGCUGAAAACCUUCAAACACUUCAUCUUUUUCUUCCCUUCACAUCUCCUUUUCUCCCUCUUCUCCUGCCAGCAGAGCAAAUUCUUACCACGUUACUUUAAUAACCAUGUAACACAUUGCGUUCCAUAGUUGUGUUUAGAGCCAAAAGUAAAAAAUAUGGCAUGAAUUAAUAUUUUUAAUGCCAUGUUUAGAGUUUACAAAAGCAGUGUUAAAUUUAGAAUUAAAGCUCAUGUGAGGAACUUUCUAUUUCGGGUCAGUUUUGGCACCUCCUGUGGACAGACCAGCCUUCACUUAACUGGUCCUCCACAUGCAGAAGUAGAGUACUCAAAUAAAAAAUCUCAUCCUGCUGAUUUUUGACUGUCAGAUCUAUCAUUUAUUGUAAAUACUUUGUGAGGAAAUUGCAAAAAAAAGGGGGCUGUGUUCUUCAGCUGCCUCUGCUUGGCUGACAUCUACCCCCUCUCAAUGUUUCCAGACAUUAGAAAUUACUGUAAAAAAAACAUUAAUAUUGUUACUAAUAGUCUUGUUUGCUUUUGUUUACCAUAAAGAAGGGUGAGUUUAAAUUUCAGUUUAUUACAUUAACAUCGAGUAACUCCUCAUAGGAGCUUUAAAAGCUAUUAAGCCAUUAUGAGUUCAUUAUCUUAUGAGCUGAUUAAUAAUCGAUCAGAGGAGUCAGAGAGUCAAUACUUGCAGCCCUAUUUACAAGAAACUUUUACAGUGUUGGUACACAACAGAUAAGUCAUUGUCACAAUUUGAUUUGCUGCAGCUGGUCCUGAAGGCUCCCCUCUCCACAAACAACACGAGAGCAGCAACAACAGCGUUUGUGACAGCAGUAUUGAUUUUAAUGGCUGUGGUCGCCGCCACUGUUGUGCUGCUUGGCCUGCUUUUAUGAGCAGUCAUAAAAUAACAGUGAGGAGAUGGCCUGGAUGCUUUCCAUGUAUUACAAUCAGAAUUUAUAAAUUGCCCCAUUACCCACCUUUCCACUGGUUACUCUUGGAACAUUAGCAAUUAUUUCCACAUGGGUCACACUCAUAAAACCAAUAAUCUGGUGAUUUAAAGCCGCGGUGGAGGAGCUGGGCCGCUGCAGGCUUUCUGAAGCAAGAGGCCUUUGCCUUUAAGACAUCGAUUUCAGGCAGCUAUUAGACAGGCCUCUCAGGGACAAAUUGCCUCUGGGUUUGUCUAAGGAGAGACAGAUUGAGGGAGACAGUGAGAGUGACAUCGAGAAAGAGGGGAAGGCGAUCAUCCUGGUGAAAGAGUGUAUCUCUUUAGGUGAAGUAAGUGACGUUGUACAGCCUCAGUCCUGAAUAGUCGGGUCGCAAAAUGUUUAUAGACACAGAAGUCGAUGGAUUGCAAGUUAUUUACAGCUCCUCUUUCAUUUAAAAUAAUGUGAAGACCGCAAGUCAAAUUUAUUGUUUUAUUUCUAAAUAUAUUACUGUAUGUGUUCGUUUUAAAUUUAUCAAUUGGACAUGGACAGCACGACACAGAAAGAGUAGUUUUAAGUAGUUUUAAUUUAUGUUUUUGGGCAUUUUUGGGGAGUCAAAUCAGUGACUGUUGCGACAAGGAGUACAGUCAAUCCACUAAAUUCUGUUUUUAUAAACAUUUUACCAAAUAUACCAACUCUAACCCCCAAUUUCCACCACAUCCGGAACGACUACAAAAAGGACUAAUCCGCCGAUCGUGGCUGAUCUUAACUAUCUAAGUAAAUGUGUCAAUUUCCACUGGCUUCAUUCCGUUCUGAGGCAGAUCGCCGGACUCCACAGCUGAUCGCAAGAGUUCUAUUUUUUCCAGACGCCGGAGCAUGCCAGAUAAAUCCAGCACAGAUUGACCUGUGCUUGAAAGGAAGUCGGGCACAGACACAAAAUAAAACACCGUCUUUCAGGCGGAUUGUAUUUCACAUCAUGCAUACGGGCGGGGACGAACAAGUGAAAAGUUUAUAGACAGCAUUUCAUCCCGAUGACACCAUGGAUGAGAGGAUGCUGAUUUUAUAAGUCUAGAAGUAGAUUUCCUCCUCUGGAAGGACACGAUCGACUGCUUAUGUGGUUAGCCUAUGUGGCGAGAGACAACUUGUUAUCGCACGAUUGUGCGUGGAUCGGCGGGUUCUUGUGAGUUCUUGCGAUUCCUGCUGUCCGUAAUCCGCCAAGAAAUUCGCCUCACAAACGGAUCUGGUAGGAAUUGGCGUACGGCGAAAUUUGCCGCUGUUGCGGAUCUGAGCCGUUCUGGAUGCGGUGGAAAUCCCGGGUUAUAAAAUUGGGGUUGUAGAGGCAUGUGCUUUGACUGCACUGAUACAGGAAUAACACGUGUGUUUAGUAGUGUUUAUUUGAAUCUUGUACUCUUCUUACACCUUGUCAAAAAUGUUAAUUUAUGGAGUCUUUCUCUGUGUGCUCCACACUGUUGUUGAUUUAGUUCUUAUGACUCUAUUAGCACCAUUAUGAACAGAUAUCCAGUGUAACUGUGUGUGUGUGUGUGUGUGUGUGUGUGUAUGUGAAAUGAAAAUGCUGAGCUAGGAGGUGGACUCCCAGUCAGUGUGUGUGCUUAUGGAGAUGGAUGGCUGCAGCAGGUGGUGGGAGGUGAGAGAUGCCUCCACUACACAGCAAAACUCCUGAUGGCUGCCCACCCACCCAUCAUCCCAUUACUACUCCCCCGGGGGAGACAGAGAGACAGAGUAAGGGAAGGCAGAGGGAUGAGAGAAAUAAUAAAGUGAUUCAGGUCUGAGAAUGAGAGCGAUGGAGGGGCUGAAGGAAGUAGGCAAAAAAGAGAGAGAGGAGUGAGCAUGAGGUGACACUGUUUGUACCUGGCUCAUGGCUGGUAACAAAAAGGAGGGCCACACCAAGACAAAGCAAUCAUAAGGACAUUUUAACUAAUAUAAAAGCAUUAGACGGAUCAUUCAUGUUAAUUCGUUCACUCAUUCAAGAGAGUGAGAUAUUUGGCUGAGAGAGGCUGGGUCUAAAUACAGGUGAAGUAUUAUCAAAAUCAGUGAACAAGACACUUGUGUAACCUUUUUGCCGUAUAAAAAAGUGAGCUGCAUUCUUUUCACUAGUACUACCAAUAAACUGGUAUCAAAUGCAGAGAUAAACUGCUUUUGCUGCACAAGCAUACCGGAACAAGCAGAAUAUUUCAAUACUUAGGUAAAAAAGGACCUUUGAAUUACCCUUUUGUUCAGGACUUGAGAAUAGAGGGUAAAAAGGGGGAAAAUAAAAGAAAAAGAAAGUUGGUGUGAGGUCGCAGAUGUGUGAGUGUGUUUUCCUGUGAGUGCGUGUGUGUGUAGAGAGGCUUGGACAGGCUUCUGUGACUUCUCUGACCCAUUGGAGCCCCUCAGCGAACUCAUUUACACUGAGUGACAGCACUGUGUGACAUCCAUGGUACUUGGGAGGCUACACACACACACACACACACACACACACACACUUGUACACUUAUCCCACAUUUGGAGGUCAUUCUUGACAUGUUAUUAUUUGCAUGCACUUUACAUGUAUGUAUGUACAUGUAUUUGUAUGUGUUUUACAUGUGAAUAAUACAACAUUAUAUUCAGGCUCCUGGUUGCAUCAGGUCACGACUUGAUGUCAUCCAAGUCAAUGUUUGUCCCAUAAGGAUGCUGGCUGAGCUCACAAGUGUUCUUUAUGUGCUCUUGUUUUUCGUGGAAAAGGAAGCAGCAGGGUUAUGCAUCAUAAACAUUUCUUGAACUUAAGCAUAACCCAAAACUGCCACUCACUCAAGUCUGCAGAGAGUUGGGUCUUUUUCUGGUCCAUAUCCUGCUGGUGGUUAUUUAAAGCUAAUUCUUCUAUUUUUGAAACCUCAAGUCUGUCUAAACAAAGCUCAAGUCUCUUAGUUGUGGUCAUUAAGAAAUCUUGGGAGUUCUUUUGCACUUAAGUGCAGGGAGCAUGCUCAGAACAUAUACAGAGACACACAUGUUCACGUUAAAUGCACGAUGUGAAGGCACAGAUGUACAUGCAUGAAAGAGAAAUUAAGACGACGCUCUCGUAAACACAUGCACGCAUAAACAAUCAGUUAUGUACACAAAAAUAGCCAGAGAUGUACAUACACACAUGUAAACACACACACACACACACAUGCACACAGUGUGGUCCAGCCCUUGGCUCCACAGUCUGUAAUGAAGCCUUAGUGAAGGUCUACCAAGGAGGCUGGAGGAGUCGGCCAAGCAGGCCUGCGGUCUCAUUCAGACAACCGCCUUGCCUCUGCCAGCUCCCUGGACCUCAAUGUUCAGUCACUGGGUGGGAUGGUUGGGAGAUCUAAUCCGGCAAAGCGGAGGGUGGAGGUUUGGGAAGAACUCCUCUAGAUGUGGUUAUUGUGGGACACCAAGAAGGACCGUCACUUAUUUGGUGCCACAGAAAGGCCAAAACGGCCUUUCCUGUUCUUAACCCUCGUCUCCUGGCCCAUGUAGCGUGGAGCCGCCACAGUCAAGACACUGUGAAACCAAAAUCUAUGUAGGAAACUUUACAAUUAUUGUGUUUAUCUGUCUCUUCAGAACAACAAACACUCAGAGAAUGUCUCAAAGUGAGGCCCAGACAACUUACUGAUGUGGAUUUCUCUCACUUUCCACUGGCACGCCACAAUUCUUUACAAAUAUACAAACAGAGAGACUUCCUCCAUGCACACAAUACACCCACCACAAUGACCUGGAGAGGCCUCCAUCGUGCUGCAGCAUAUAUUUACUCCUCAGCAAUUUGAUGUCGGGUUUUGACAGCUCAUCGCUUAUGCCACUGUGGCGUGGCAGGAGCACCACUCCCUGUCUGAAUGUCCAUCUGUCUGUCCAUCUGUCCAUCUCCUCCGCCGCAAAUGACGUGAAUGAUAAACGAGUGACUCAACAAUAAACCUGAAACACCCCAGAACCAGAUGGAGGUAUUCGAGGUCAAAGUUAUCUCUUACAUGUUUUGUAUGUUGAUGAUUCACAGUGUAUUUAUCCCGAGUAUACGUACCUAUGUAUCUGUUCUUAUCAUCAUCACGAGGGAACACUAAUUCAGUUGAAAGGGCUUCAGAUUUUGUUACAAAUGUCACUUAAUCUGCAUUUACUAUGCUGCCCAUCCACUAUUUUCCUUUGCUUCACAGUUCAUGAAGGUAUAAAUAGCCUUAUCACUGUUCAUAAUACAUUAUAACACAAAAAUUAACCCAUUGCUUAUAGUAUAAUAACUCCCAUGACUCAGAAAGCCCUACGUAAUGGAAGAUUUCCUAAAACGUGUGCUGUGUAUUGGGUAGUGGUUGAAACAGAGCCUUGGUUUUUAGUAAAAUACCUCAAUGAGAAAUUCAUAAACUGAUCCAGAAACAUGUUUGAGUAACAUUGGCGACUUCCAAGGGACUGAGCUCCUGUGGUCUGACAGAUGAAAAUUUGGUAUUCUUAGUGUAAAUCAUGGAUGCUGCUUUUCCUGCUACAUUCUGCCAUGACAUGUGGGGGGAAAAAAACACCAAUUAUGACCAAAGCCGUCGAAGUUGAUGCUAAACUUGUCAGCCGUAGCUGUACUUUGUGAUAGCAUUUCUUUGUUGAUGGCUUUGUCACUUGUAGCAUGGAUUGGAUGGCUGAUGCCAGUUCAGAGGCUACCGAAGACCCAAACUCUUGUUGUUUAUUUACUCUACUGACUCUAAUAUACACGUUGCUGUACAUGUAAAAAAACGUUUCUCAUACUCAAACUUUAUUAAACAUCUUGAUCUCUACAGUAGGGACAAUAAGAUGAGUCCUACAUCAAAUUAAUCAUAACCCUUAAAGUGAGGUGCAUCAUCAUACUGUGGAUUUUGUGUCUACAGUUGUAUACCCAGCUCAUCCUUGUUUUCAGGUUCUGUUCACAAUCUUGAGUAAUAUAAUCUUACUCGGUGGUAUUUAGCUGUCAACAAGUCGUAUUGGUGAAGCAUUGACUUCCUUUCCUCUGAUUCCUCUGUGAACCGCAGUUUGAAAUCCAUCAUCAUUGCUGUUGGGUUGAUGUAACAACAGCAUUGAACAUGUCUGCGUGUCUUAUUGAAGUAAUUAGCCUGUCUUAACCUUUAAUCUGACUAAAUUCCUCUGUCUCACCAGAUGAGAUUCCCCUGGCCUCACUCAAAUUGUCAAUUACGCCUGUCACAUGGAAAACUGUAACUGAACCAAUUUUCUCUCUCACUUUCUUUCUUCUCCUGAAUGGCUUUGUCUCUCCUUCCCUGUGACUAUAAUUGCACAUUUCAUAAUGAUGCUGCACAGACGUAGACACAGAUAAAAGAGAGGGGGGAGAUACACGGGAGGGCUGGAGAGAGGGGAGAGAUCGUGUCCUCAGAGCACCCCGUGCUUCCAGUUUAAUUGAUGACAACCACAAGUGAAGUUUGGAACCUCUGAGCUCUAUUCUGUCAACAUUUCAAGGAAGCGAGACAGCACGGGAUCACUUGUAUUUGGAUAAUGUUUGGUAUAAGCUAUAUUUAUUCCAAAUCCCUGCAGUGGUGGUGCAGGACUGUUUUAUGCACAUAGCAAUCUGCAGGAGGCUAAUUUAAAGACACCCUUUACUCAUUGUAAACACAGCAUUUACAGCUUGUGUGGUAGCAUUCAGUUGGUUUGCUGUGUAGCUGAUCUCAGUGGCAGUGAUAAUGCAUGAGAUUUAAAGGAAGAGCACUUGGUGUGUGUUAUAAUCUUGUUACAGGUAUGCUGUGCUUUAUAUGGAGGGGAGAGAAAAGGGUAAACUGAAGAGCGAGUGCUCCCAGCUAUGAAUUAAAAAGGGAGGGGAAAAGAAUGUGUCUCUUUUGACUGCAUGUUGCUUAAUUCUCUCUCUGGGCUCUGGCAAGCCAAGCCCGAUGUUAAGUGGCUUCUUGAGUUUAUCCAGCGAGGUCAGAGGGAAAAUAAAAACAUCACGCGAGAGCUACAAUUACAGCCCUCGAACAUGACAAGCGUCUGUUUUUGUGCUUUUGACUGAGGGCCCACUUUUAAUGGUCGGUUCUGGCUGCAAGAUAAACAAACAGUCAUAGGGUUAGCGUAACCCCUGUCUACAAGCACUAGCCAGGCCCAGCCAGCGAGACAGCCAGAGAAGCUAAAGUCUGCCGCAGCACUAGGCAGCAACAGCAGAAGCAGUGGUGGUUUUGGCGGCAGGGGAAAUUACAGCAUGGAGCAAAGCUGUGGUUUGUAUACAGCACUCUCACACACUCCCUCGCUUUUCCUUUCACUCUUGCUCUCUCACACAUGUUUGGCUUUCUCCAGCCUCUUCUUCUUCUUUCUUUCUUUCUUUGUGAGUAUUUGACAAAACUGUUAGGGUCAGACACAUAAACGCACACACAUUCACAUAUGGAGUUGCUUGGGUGGGCCCUUCCUGUUCCCACAGGUGCCUCGAAAAGUGAGGCCAGCAAUCACCAUCGCUUCUGGCAAGACCUCCAACCUACAAACCUACUGACCUCAUCAGGAGACCAAUAAUCUCUUAAAUUGUCCGUUUCAAAUCCUGCGGGCAAGCUAAGCCAAAGGGAUCUCAUUAUACCAGGCAUUAAAAAGACUCUCAUCAGGUGACAUUUACAUAUUACAUCAUUCAGUGUUCCCAUCCAGAUGGACCCAAGAGGCUAAUCAGAGACCAGUUCAGUUCGGCUUCCUGUUAGACUGAUACACCGUUGGGUUCUGUCAGAAACACCCUGAUGAAUGCUGACAAUAGCUGUGCAGUAACAACACACAUAUUUGGAUAAAUAGACGAAUAAACUAUAGUUACUGCUAGCUAUACAUGAUGAUGAUGAUGUGCACACUGUGAUUUAUAUUAUAUUAUGUAGAUAAAAUGAGUAUAAAGGCUUACAAAGUCUUGAUAUAGAUGAGGAAAAUAUCUGUUUGAAUUACUUUGUACUUGUAGGUGUCUCUGCUGAGCCAGAUUGCAAACACUGUACAUAUCAAUUACUUUGAAUUAUGUUUUGUUUGUGUGCAGGUAUCAAAAUCAGCUAAGCCAAGAGGAAAGACCUCAGUUGAGCUUUUCCGUCUCUGUGCCUCGGUGACUCUGAGUGUGUAAACAAACCUGUCUUUGAACAUGUUUUCUCGCUCCUUGUGUUCGGUUCACACCUGCUGCUGAGCUCUCGUAACAGAUGCAUCCAUACUUUAAGGUCAACAUGCACAGUGUUGUUAGCAUACAGCUACAUAUUUACGGGCAGACUGCAGGCGCACAAAGACACCUCUCACAAUUAACAAUGUAUUCGCACUUGACUAUUAUGUACAUGUACACAAAGGAAAAACACAGACGUACACAGAUACACACUGGCAGGAACACACCCCGACACCCACACACCUGCUGCUCAUCCUCCUCCACAGCCCCUUGUGUUAAUGGAUGGGAGUCUAAUUACUACUCUCACACUGGGACUACUUUCUCCACACUUGUCUCCCAGGACAUGUGUGCCUCGACUCUGUGUGUGUGUGUGUGUGUGUGUGUGUGUGUGUGUGUGUGUGUGUGUGUGUGUGUGUGUGUAUGUGUGUGUGUGCGUGCAAAUGUGUGAGUGUGUCUGGAAGUGGUUGUGUUAGCUACUGUCAGCACAGAGCUCUCACACACUGCUCAUUAGCAGACUUUCUCUCUCGCUCUCCUUUCCCACAGAAACACUCUCGACUUCAUACAAAACACUGUUAAACACAGUGUAGCACAGAUGAACAUCAAGGUAGCAGCAGCUUAGCUUUGUGUGUACAUUUUAUUUUAAGAAAUAGCGUUAUUUCCUCUCUCUUUGUGUCUAACUCUUUCUUUCUCACAGAGAUAGCUGG